rnacentral:lncRNA from 1 species
CCCAAGGACUCCUUCGAUUUUUGGGAAGAGCUACACCAGGCUUUCACCGACAACUUCAUCGCCACAUGCGAGCAGCCUGGAAACAAGUACGACCUUGAAAGGAUAAGAGACAGAAAAAAUGAACCUCUGCGCGAUUACAUCCGACGAUUCUCGGAUAUGCGCCUUAAGAUCCCGAAGAUUUCCCACGACGAGGCCAUCUCUGCCUUCAUCAAAGGCCUGCGUUUCCAUGAAGCACUGAGGAACAAGCUGUUGCGCAAAAGGCCAACAACAAUGGCCGAGCUCCUUGCCACGGCUAAAAAUUACGCCGAUGCCGACGACGCAGAAAAACUAAUCCGGGACGAUGCGAGAGGUCCCGACCAGCCUCCUCGGCGAGAUGACAGUCGCGGUCGUUUCGACAACAGGAACCACCGCCGCCCCGACAACCGUGAUCAAAGAGAAGGCUGGGAUAGGCGGCGCGACAAUCGCGACGAUUUCAGAGGAAAGCGCCCCCGUGACCAUGACCACGAAGUGAAUACGGUCAAGCGUCCCAACGGGCGGCGGAACUACCAAGAAGACUACAACAAAACGUUGAAGGGACCGUGUCAACUGCACCCAAAGUCCAAUCAUACCAUGGAAGAGUGCCGCGUCCUCAAAAACAUCUAUACGCGGCGGGCCGCCCAAGACGACUCCGCCAAGAAAAAUGGAAAACGAGACGGGCACGACCACGAAGACGAGGACGAGGACCAAGAUAGGGACCCACGACACCAAUAUGUCAGUCCCACCGACGUGGUCCACUCCAUCUUCGGGGGCAAGGUCUCCAUCGAAUCUAAGCGAGAAAGAAAGCUAUUAAAAAGAGCCUGCCUCAACAUAGACAGCACGGACGGCCUGAUCGCAGACCCGAAAUUUCCCCCGUGGUCGCACAGGGAGAUCUCCUUCAGCAGGAAGGAUCAGUGGGCCGCUAUCCCAGAGCCAGGUCGUUUCCCUCUAAUCCUGGACCCUUACAUCAACAGCAUCAGAUUCGAGCGCGUGCUCGUGGAUGGAGGAAGCUCCAUUGACAUCCUCUUCCGCAACAGCCUGCCCGCUCUCAAGAUAUCUCCGGCACAACUAAAACCCUACGAUGCUCAAUUCUGGGGAGUCUUGCCAGGACAGAGUUCAGUGCCCCUCAGACAGAUAACAUUGCCUGUCUAAUUCGGCACGCCCGACCACUUUCGGACAGAGUUCGUCAACUUCGUGGUCGCCGACUUCGAUGGGACCUAUCACGCCAUACUAGGCCGACCAUCGCUGACAAAAUUCAUGGCGGUCCCGCAUUACUCAUACCUGGUCCUCAAAAUGCCUACGGAGAAGGGCAUCUUGACCGUCAGAGGCAACGUCUACACUGCAUAUACUUGCGAGGAAGAGAGCUUCACGAUCACCGAAGCAAUUGAUCUCUCAAUCCGGAUGGCAGAAACAGCAACCCAAGCCGCACAGCUACCUCCAGAUCAGCUCCAACUACCUGAGCAGGAGACCGCCAGGAAGAAUUCAAAAUCCAAGGAGCAUAAAGAAGUACAACUGGUCGACGGCAGCCCCGAGAAGACGGCCCUCAUCGGGGUCAAUCUGGACCCCAAAUAGGAAGACGCGCUCGUUAGGUUUCUAAGGGACAACGUGAGCAUUUUCGCAUGGAAACCCGCAGACAUGCCUGGCGUCCCACGAAACCUGAUCGAGCACUCCUUAAAUGUCUCGAAGACCACAAGACCAAUCAAGCAAAAGCUGCGACGGUUCGCUCGUGACAAAAAGGAGGCUAUUAGGACAGAAAUAACACGGCUUCUAGCAGCCGGAUUCAUAAAAGAAGUGUAUCACCACGAUUGGCUUGCCAAUCUGGUUCUUGUACGCAAAAAGAAUAAUGAAUGGAGAAUGUGCGUUGAUUACACCGAUCUCAAUAAACACUGUCCUAAAGAUCCUUUUGGUCUCCCUCGCAUCGACGAGGUGGUCGACUCAACGGCCGGAUGCGAACUCCUCUCUUUUCUCGACUGCUACUCUGGUUAUCAGCAGAUCUCGCUAAAGGAAGACAAUCAGAUAAAAACAUCUUUCAUUACUCCUUUCGGCGCAUAUUGCUACACAACCAUGUCAUUCGGACUCAAAAAUGUCGGAGCCACCUAUCAACGGGCCAUCUAGUAGUGCCUCCAUGACGAGAUUCGUGAUGACCUCGUCGAGGCCUAUGUAGACGACGUAGUCGUCAAAACAAGGUAUGCAAGCACCCUAAUCGACAACUUAGACCGAACCUUUAAGGCGCUAAACAGGUACAAGUGGAAGGUUAACCCCAAAAAGUGCAUCUUUGGCGUCCCUUCCGGUCUACUACUCGGUAAUGUCGUCAGCCGCGACGGCAUACGGCCGAAUCCUUCAAAAGUAAAAGCAGUACUCGACAUGCGACCACCCAAAAAUGUCAAGGAUAUUCAGAAGCUCACUGGAUGUAUGACCGCACUCAGCCGCUUCAUCUCAAGACUAGGAGAAAAAGGCCUCCCUUUCUUCAAACUCUUGAAGGCGUUGGAAAAGUUCUCUUGGACAGAGGAAGCUGACGCUGCGUUUACCCAGCUUGAGACCUUCCUCACUUCCCCACCUGUUCUCACAGCGCCUCAGCCCAAUGAAGACCUACUCCUUUACAUUGCUGCAACCGACAGGGUUGUUUCCACGGCAAUAGUGGUCGAGCGAGACGAGCCAGGCCAUGUCUACAAGGUCCAGCGACCCGUUUACUUCAUAAGCGAAGUCCUAAACGAGUCCAAGGCCAGAUAUCCACAAAUACAGAAGCUCAUAUACGCCAUUCUAAUAACAUCGAGAAAGCUAAAGCACUACUUCGACGGCCAUCGAGUCUUGGUAACCACCAGUUUCCCUCUUGGGGACAUUCUGCGCAAUAAAGACGCCAACGACAGAAUAGUAAAAUGGGCAUUGGAAUUAUGCCCAUUCUCCCUGGAAUUCCAGAGCCGCACCACAGUCAAGUUUCAGGCCCUGGUCGAUUUCAUUGCAGAGUGGACGGAUCUCAACGAGCCUCCCGUUCCCGAUGUCUCCGACCACUGGUCGAUGUUCUUCGACGGGUCCUUGAACAUCAACGGUGCCGGCGCGGGGAUUCUUUUCGUGUCGCCUAACAAGGAUAAACUGCGUUACGUCCUUAGGAUCCUUUUUCCGGCGUCAAACAAUGUUGCCGAAUACGAAGCAUGCCUGCAUGGCAUCCGACUAGCCGUUGAGUUGGGAAUCAAACACCUCUAUGUCUAUGGCGACUCCACGUGGGUUAUCAACCAGCUCAACAAAGAAUGGGACGCGACCCACGAAAAGAUGGAUCUCUACUGCAAAGAAAUUCGCAAGUGGGAGACCAACUUCUACGGCAUAGAAUACAUCCACGUGGUCCGGGAUAAGAACCAAGCAGCAGAUGCGCUGUCAAAGCUAGGGUCAUCUCGGGCCCAGAUCCCACGGGGUGUUUUCGUCCAAGAUAUCCAUGAGCCAAGUGUGGGCUCCGGCCUGGUCGAAAAGCAACCUACGGAAACAAUGCUCAUAGACGAUGCCACCCCGGCAACCAGUGGCCGUGAUUGGCGCACCCCGUUCAUCAGAUAUAUAUCGGACGGGUCAGGCUUUCAGGACAAAACAGAGAACGAGCGCCUCAUUCGACGAUCAAAGAAUUACAUACUGGUGGACGGCAAACUUAUGCGAAAAAAUGCAAGUUCUGAAGUGCUGCUCAAAUGCAUAUCCCAAGAUGAUGGCAUCAAGCUCCUAGAGGACAUACAUGCCGGAUCCUGCGGCAAUCAUGCUGCAUCGAGAACGCUGGUCGGGAAAGCUUUCCGGGCAGAUUUUUAUUGGCCAACCGCGGUCAGCGACGCAGAAAAACUGGUCCGACAUUGUGAGAGAUGUCAGUUCUUUGCUAAAAGGACUCACGUACCUGCUCACGAGAUUCAAACCAUCCCGUCAUCCAGGCCUUUCGCCUGCUGGGGGCUCGACAUGAUCGGGCCAUUUAAACCGGCCCCUGGCAACUUCAAGUUCGUUUUCGUGUUAAUCGACAAGUUCUCAAAAUAGAUCGAAUACAUGCCAUUGGUUAAAGCAACAUCCGAGAAGGCUGUGGAGUUCCUCAAUCAAAUCAUACACAGAUUCGGGAUCCCACACAGUAUAAUCACCGACCUGGGUACUCAGUUCACUGGCACUACAUUUUGGGACUUCUGCGAUGACAGGGGCAUAGUCAUAAAAUAUGUGUCAGUAGCUCACCCACGGGCAAAUGGUCAGGUCGAGCGCGCGAACGGAAUGAUCAUUGACGCCCUAAAGAAAAGGUUGUACACCGAGAAUGACAGAGCACCUGGUCGAUGGAUGAAAGAGUUGCCAGCUGUGGUCUGGGGUCUCCGAACUCAGACUAGUCGGAACACGAGAGUGUUACCCUACUUCAUGGUUUACGGCACCGAGGCCGUCCUGCCGUCUGAUAUAACCUUCGGUUCCCCCAGAAUUGAAAACUUCGACCAGUCAACAGCCGACAACGCCAGGGAUCUUGAAAUCAAUUGCAUGGAGGAAAAGCGUCUAAAUUCUUGUCUCCGAACAGCAAAGUACCUUGUGGCAAUCAGGCGGUACCAUAACAGGAACAUCAAGGACCGUUCUUUCAUGGUCGGUGAUCUGGUGCUCAGGUGGAAAACAAGCCAGGAGGGCAUGCACAAGCUAUCCACUCCCUGGGAAGGACCCUUCGUGGUCGCCGAAGUCACACGACCCACAUCCUACAUAUUGGCAUAUCCAGACGGAACACGUGUGCCUAACUCUUGGCACAUAGACAGACUGUGCCGAUUUUAUCCAUAAGUUCUAGUAACUUUUGCAUGUAAAUCCCUUAUAGCUGUCAAUAAUAAAAGUUUUUCUUUUUGGCUAUACUUUGUUUACACGCAGAGCUCGGAAAGUCUUCUGCGACGGAAGCUCUUAGCAACUACGACUCAAACACAGUGGCAUGUCACUCAGAUAAUCGUAUAGCACUCAAAAUAACAGUCAUGACAAAAGCAAACUUUAUUACAAACUUUACAUACAAAGUUUACAAUAAAUACCCUGACGGGCGGACACUAGUCUACUCCUACAGACUACCCUACUGGCCUACUGCUCGGGCUGAUCACCCGCCUGGCCUUGCUGCCCGGACGAAGGGGUCGGGGCCACCGACGCUGGGCUGGUCGAGACCGCAGGCGUCGACCGCCCAUCUCCCGCAAUAGACGCACCAGACAGCUCCCUGGCCGACCUGUCUGAGCCCGGCUGGUCGGGGGGAGUGGCCGUUCCGCAUAGAUUGAUGUCGCCGAUCACCGUCGAUGACAAGUCCAGUAGACCACCCCGAAGCUCGUCCGCCUCCUGCGGGCCGACCUCCUUGGGAUACCCCUUCUCCAGCCUGGUCAAGUCGACCAGGGGGUAGUGGGCGCGCACCAUGCUGAGGAUAUGCGCGCCAGCAAACUCCCCGGCGUCCUUCACGAACUGUUGGAGCCAGUCCCGCGCCCGUUGUGCCUUUUCAACUGGCGUCAAUUUCGGUGCGCAGGGCUGGCUCUCCGGGAGCUCGGAACUGAUCAAGUCCAGGACCGGGGCCACUCCUUUCCAGAUCCUACAACAAUUAACCUUCCAGGAGUCCCGAUCCUUGACCAGCUCGUCCAGGUGCUUCUUGGUGUUCACUUUGAGCACUGCAAAUCAAGAAAGAUGUUAGUUUCAACAUAUCGAAAAGAGCGAUAAGCGGUAAAUAACGGGGGCGGCGCGUAUUACCAGACAACUCCUGGUCCCUCCGGCUCAGCUCCUCCCCUGCUCGGCGCCCGGCCUCCAGCGCCCCGGCAAGCUCUUGGCUGAGGUGCUCUUUCUCUUGUCGAAGGCGAGCAACCUCCUCCUCCAAGUCUACAAUAACACAUUCCUGGUCAGCAGAUCUAAUCACACAGCUAUAUGCAGCUGUUCGGAGAAUGCAACUAACCUGUCCUCUGCCGAUACUGAUCGGCUAGGCGCCGAGUAAGCUCGAGACGACGCUCUUCCUGAGCACUCAUCUCGGCCACCUUCUCACCAACCUCGGACCGCAGCCGGUCCACCUCUGUGGAUAAGGCCUUGUUCUCGGCCACUAUGUCUCCGGUACUUCGCCGUUUUCAUCGCGCCCUGCAAGGAAACACAUAUGUUAAGCACAGGAGCACUACAUAUACUUGCUGAGCAAUGCACAGACCACCUACCUUGACCUCGUCCACGAGACGCUUGGCUGCGCGUUCCACCCUCGCGGCCUCUUCCGUCUCCGCGAGUUCCUCGUGUCCAAUAAAGUGGUCCCCGCGUUGGCGCCACACAUAGACGUGCAGGCGGCCGUCACGGGGACGACCCUGGAUCUCUUCUACGUCGUCGUCAGAGGCCACUUGGGGAUCCUCGUCUGCCGCAUUACCUCCGGCCGCGGUUGUGGGCAUCACCGGCCCCUGGUCCAGGCAAGGGGAGCCCACGGGCGAUGAGGACCCUGCUCGGGGCGGUGUUGGGACCCCCCCCUCCCCGGCCGGAGGGGUCGGGACUCUGCCUUCCUCAUCCGCAACAGUACUCGGGGGAGGGGCCCUCGCUGCCUCUUCACCCCUCGGUGGAGUGCUCGCCGUGGCACUCGCCGGGGCAGAUUGCCCUUCGACAACUGUAGCAGCGGCCGCCGCCGCAGGCUGCUCUGUGGCCCGCGGCGCGGCGUCCUCGACGGCGGUAGCAGGCUCGGCCGUCCUCGCCUCCGCGACUUGGUCGGGGUUGACGUCUGACGCCGUGCUAAACAACAAAGCGACAUUUUCAAAAAAAAGUCGAAGUGCAAAAGUUGAACACUUACAGGUCUGAUCGACGGUGGGCUGCGGUGAACCUCCGCCUGGCCCUACCGGUCGGCGCCUGUGCUCCCGUCUCUGCGACGCUCGAUCAGUGGUGGUCGGCGCAUUGUCCGGACGACUGCGAGGCCUUCGGACCAACGACGGUGCGGCCUCCCCCUCCUCCUCGUCGUCAUCGGCGAUCCGGACGAGCCGACGACGCUUUGGCGCUUGGCUGCUCUCUGCUGGCAGCGUCGGCGCAGGCGAAGGAUCCGCUACCAUUUGCCUUUUCCCCGCCACUCUCUCCUCGGUGGUCGGGAUGGGGCGGGCCUGGUCCUCCUCACUGCUGGUGUAAUGAGUACACCGAGCAGCGUCUUCCUCCGGCGGAUCUUCCCCCGCAGGAUUCUCCAUUCCAGGUGCCAGUGACACAUAUACCGUGCACCGGUCAACAUCUCCGAUCUGCAAAAGUAACAAAGAUAAGUCAGCAGCAGACAAUAACGAAUGCUAAAGCGAAAUAAUCAGUAAGAUACCAUAGGUGCUGGUCGCCCUAACUUGAAGGCUUGCACCCGAUCAGUACCACGGACGAAGCCUCCGUCCGCAAAGUUGAACAGCUCGUUCAACAGCUGCUGCACCUCUGACUUCUCCAAGACCUCAGGACGCAUCCUGAUCGGGUCCACGCUUCCGGCAUACUCGUACGCCGAGUGCACCCUCUUCUGGUAGGGCAUCACCCGACGACACACAAAGUUGCCGACCACGCCUAGCCCGUCCAAGCGUGACCAGUCGAUCAGCUUCAUCAGGUCCGCCACUUGACCGUCGAACCCUGGGCGAUCGGUCCAGCUUACCCUCUUCUCGGGGAUGUACCCCACGUCGCAGAACGUGGAGCUCCCCGGUUCUUCUCUGAUGUAGAACCACUUCCUGUACCAUUCGGUUAGGGAAGUGUUCCAUGGACAGUGCAGGUAACGGUUCUUCAUCCCGUCGCGAAGGUUGAGGUAUACUCCACCUGCAACCUUGGAGCCUCCAACCGCUCCCUUCUUUCUUAAACAAAAAAGAUAGCGAAAGAGAUCGAAGUGCGGUUCUAUGCCGACAUAGGCCUCGCACAAAUGGAUAAAAGUGGAAAUAAGAAGGAUUGAGUUCGGGUGCAGAUUGCAAAUCCCGAUCUCAUAAUACAAAAGAAGACCCUGAAGAAAAGGAUGAACAGGCACCCCAAAACCCCUCUUAAGGAAAUCCUCGAACACUACGAUCUCACCGGCGCGGGGGUCGGGGUAGCUCUCCCCCUCCGGCGCCCUCCAGCCGCCGAGCUCCGGGCUGUGCAGUAGCCCCAUAUCGACGAGGUCACCCAGAGAUUUUGCGGUGCUGCGGGAUUUCUUCCAUUCUUUGGCCAUCAGCUCGGCCCUCUUCUUGGAGUCGCUCUUCACCAUUGGAGAUGCGGGAGUGGCUUUGAACUAGGAGGGCGCAGGUGGUUGAAAGAAGGUGAGAGCGGCAAGCUUGAAGGCAAUUGCAGGGUAAGCAAUGAGGGGUUAAUGUCAGGAUUUUAUAAACCGCAACUCCACCCCUCCCACUUCCCGCAUUCUCGGGAAGUGGGCGGGCCAUACGGCGGGCGCGGCGCUUCGGUUUUCAAUGAUUAUCGACAAUUAAUACGGCGGAGUUUUCGUACAAAUUGAUGGUUUCCUUUUCUCAAACCACGCAAAGGACGGCUGUACAGUUGCUAGGCGCAACUUUUCAUGCAGUCAUCUGACAUCCCGUCAGGAGGUCUCGUCACGUCAACUUUUAUGUGGUAAAAUUUUUUCCAAACAAGCAGACAAAAAUGGUAGAGAGUCAACAAUCCGGGGACUGCACCGACCACCGAGCACUUGAUGCUCGGGGACUGGUCGCUCAGUCUAUCAAUCCGGAAUUUCAAGGAAUACACCGACCACCGAGCGCUUGAUGCUCGGGGACUGGUCGUCAAAUAUGAUGGAACUGCACCGACCACCGAGCACUUGACGCUCGGGGACUGGUCGCCCAGUCUACCAAUCCGGAAUUUCAAGGAAUGCACAGACAACCGAGCACUUGAUGCUCGGAGACUGGUCGUCAAAUCUGUUGAGACUGCACCGACCACCGAGCGCUUGAUGCUCGGGGACUGGUCGCCUAGUCUAUUAGUUCGGGAAUCUGCGGGCUGUAUCGAUCUCCGAGCAUUGUACACCAGAGGACUGGAUAAUUUUAAUUUUUUAGACCUUGCUAUAAGGCUCAUACUUCGCCUUCCAGCAAGCUCGGGGACUACAUCGGUACGAUGCAUCUGGCGAUGCAUUUCAGACUCAAAAAUACUUUGAGGAAUUUUCUUUUGACCCUGGCACCACGUGCCUACGUCACCUACUACCAGGCUCGGGGACUAAGUGGGCACACUUCACCUUGCGGUGAAUAUGCUUGCUUUUUUGAGGAACCGUACUUUUUAGAAAAGUAAAGUGGGCACACUUCACCAGAGAAGAAAUAUUUUUUCUCAAGAGCACCAUGCAUUCUUCGAACAAUUGGCUUCUUCGAUGAUGAUGUUGAUCAGAUAUAUUUACAUUUGGUCAAAAUACCGUCGCAAUUGCCUGGGCAAUUUUCAUGCUGAUUGAAGAUGUCAAAGUCUCAUUGGUCGAAGAAGCUCAAGACAGUGUGUUACUUCACAAUACAUGGUGCUCGGGGACUAGCUGUGGGGGUAUAAACCCCUAUACCCUUACGGCUAGACUUGGGCCAGAAGGCCUGGCCCAUUAUGAGACAAGUACAAGGCUUGAUCCGACAGUUUGGAGUUUCGCGCAAGGAAACAAGAUGUGGAGAUCAAGCGGGAUUCUAGUCGGUUAGAAUAGGAAUUGAUAUCGAACUAUCUAUGACAAUUGUAACCGACUAGGAUUAGUUUCCAGAUCUGUAACCCUGCCCUCCGGACUAUAUAAGGAGGGGCAAGGGACCCCCCUAGGACACAUUAUUCGCUCAAUACAAAUCAAUACAAUCAGACGCAGGACGUAGGUAUUACGCCAACUCGGCGGCCGAAUCUGGAUAAAAAGCUUGCCUGUGUCUUGCGUCACCAUCGAGUUCGUAGUUUGCGCACCGUCUACCGAUAAACUACUACCGUGGGUAUACCCCAAGGCAGACUGCCGACCAGCUUUCGUCGACACUAGCGACGGUGCCCUCCACCAUCUCCAGCUCUAGGUCUGGCAACCUCCACCACCUCUACUCCAGAACCGGUGACCUCCAUUACAGUCCAUCACUUCUAGAUCCAGAUCCAGCGACCCCCAACACAUCCACUUUAGAUUUGGCGACUUCCAUCACCUCCAAUCCAUAUUCGACGGCUAGAGACCACGCCCCACUGAUGGCGCCCUCCACCACCUCCAACUCUAGAUCUAGUGCCCUCUAGCCUCCUCCACUCCAGAUCGACGCUAGGAGCGCACGCCCGGUGGUAGGAGGUCAGCUCUCGAGCUUUGGCGGCGGCAGAAACAAGGAGGAGGGUAGUUCCUAUGGAUCUAGGCAUGGACAGUGUGGAUGGGCUCAACGAGCUUGUCCAUAGGUUUUCCUUGCCUGUUCGCUGGUCUAAAAAGUCAUGGCUGAAAAUAUUGUUCGCUGAUUUAUCGUGAGAGAAAAACACUGUUGGCUGGCAAAAAAAAUACGGCUUAUAAGACAAGCGAACGGUAGAAAGGCAGGCGGUUUGCUCGCCUGAGGAAACUGUUGUUGCCCGCUUGUGAAAAGAAUAGUGUAGUUGUGAUUCAGCCAGAACAAGAGAAGAGUCCCAUUCAAUGUUUAGCUACGUAGUACUUGCCUUCCUUUUUUGGAGUGAAGCAGUUCAAACUAAAUUUGGCUUCCUCCUAAAUCAAAUACACCAAGAUCUACAAAUAUAAUCUUUAGACGCAUGCAUGGAGUAUUAAAUAUAGACGAAAAUAAAAACUAAUUGCACAGUUUGAUCGAAAUUGACGAGACGAAUCUUUUGAACUUAGUUAGUCUAUGAUUGGACAAUAUUUGUCAAAUACAAACGAAAGUGCUACAGUGUCGAUUUCCAAAUUUUUUGGAACUAAACAAGGCCUAAGACAAAGUGACAUAUUGGAACAGAGGGAGUACAUAUAUUUCGGGCAUAUACUUGGCUACUUGCUGGAGUACUUUGGAUGAGUUAGUGGAGCAUUUAGAUUUCAUUCAAGCAUGGUAGCCAGCUUGGUGCCAGAAUUUAGAUAAAAGGCCUUAAUUAAAGAAGCAUAAUUCCGCCUGGGUUGGCCCAGCUACACGCAUUCGGCUAGAUCGAAACUAUCUGAACCUUAGGCCCAGGCAACUACCGCACGGUACCAUACAUGGGCUCCUUUUGCAAGAUGAUUUUGCACAUAAAAAGCUCUCUGUUCUGUUCACGCACUAGGCUCCCUGUUCUGUUCUAUGCGCCUUCCCUUUUUGAGCAUUGCACUAUACUACAGAAACGCCAUUUAUUUAUUUUUUUUCCUGAUAAAAACACUCAAAAGAGUGUUUCAUAUAUGAUAUAUCUCAAAAAAUGAAGGCUAGUACAAACGAUGGACAAAAAAUAAAACACAAAACGACCACUAAAUAUAAGAGAAGUCAAAGACCAAAAUAGAAGUAUGUCUUCUUCUUCGGACAUCCACUGCCUGUUAGAGUUUGAAGGUCGUAUUGCAAGGAUAACAAAAGAAAAGGGUUGAAGCAAUAGGGAAUGAUUAUACCUUAAAAUCAACACGGUACGUCCCAAAUUACAUAUAAAAAAACUGAAUAAAAAGAAACAACAUUUCAUCGAAGCGCUUUCAUUAUUUUCUUCAAUAAUGGCUUUAAUUGAUGCACUAUUUUGCUAUAAUAGAUGAGCCUAGCAUUGUUGUGCCAAAAUCUACGGAGCAACCUCAAAACCUGAGCAUGUCGUAGGAUCCAACGUUCUGAAAUAAACUGAGAUGCAACUAAAUCAAUAAAACAAUAUUGACAGUUUGUUUUCUCAGGAACAACACAAUUUGCGGAUUCAACAUCUAAAACUCUCGAUCCAACAAGCUGGAUGCAUGCGUGGUUUCCUGUCGGAGUGCUGGCCGGCAUCUCGCUCCGGUCACGGCGAUCGUGAGCGAGAUUUUCUCUUGCAGUGGUCUUGACAUUCCCCGCCUGGCGCCGACGACUUGGCUGCGCAGAGCGGCGUGGGAUGGGAUGGGAUGGGAUGGGAGGACGGCUUGGGCGGCUGCGUGCGAUCCGCCAGUCGUGGCUGGCCACUCGCACAGUAGAGCAUGUCCGUGUCCGUGCUGUGUGCUUUUAAUUUGUUGGGUCAGUACAACACGUCCGCUUCCCUUUUACGUACGUACGUACGUACGUACGUUUUGACAACUGCUACUGUUGUAGCCUGCACCCUGCAGUAGCGUAUCGGCCCGGGCUACACAGACCGGCUGCGCAGUCCAGUCGAUCGCGAGCCACAUCGUAUAGGGACGUGCCGGGCGGCGUGCGCCUCCGUCUUUGUUGAUCCAUGUUCGAAAAGACGGAACAGGGUGGGACACACGUACGUACGUAAUUGAACGAGGUUCCCCCCCCCCGGACCUUCUCAUGCAUCGUCGUGUAUAUAUAUAAUGUAAUCGAGCCAGUACAGCAUGGGUUCGUUACGUAAUCGAGCCAUAGAGUGACAAAAAAAAACUGCAUUUGGGUAAUCGAGCCACUACACAAGAUGCAGGUUUUUGUCAUGUCUCUAUGGCAAUGUAUAGAAAACGACGAUAAUUUCGUAAGGUAUGUAUACAUGUGCACGACAAAGGCCAUGUUUAGUUCCUCGAAUAUUUUGCAAAGUUUUAAAAAUUUCUCAUCGCAUCAAAUUUUACGGCACAUACUAGAACAUUAAAUAUAAAUAAAAUAAUUAAUUGCAUAAUCGUCUAUAAUUUGUGAGACGAAUCUUCUAAGUCUAAUAAGUCUAUAAUUAGACUAUACUUAUUAAAUUCAAAUGAAAAUAUUAAAGUAACAUAUUUUACAAAAUUUUUAGCAAACAGCCAAAGACGAAACAUGACUCUAGGGAAGGCAGUGUGAUUUGACCCAGGAAAAGAAAAGGAUAAUCUCUCCGCAGAGAAAUCUGACCGCAAUCAUUGUCGUCGCCGGUCGCCGGAGAACGCUCUCUCGUGUCCGCGAACCAGCCGAAAUGAUAGCCGAUUACUGUUAGCGUGGUACAUGUCGACUAGGGCCUUAUUUAGUUAACUCUGAAUACCAAAAAGUUUUUCAAAAUCCUCCAUCACAUCGAAUCUUAUGGCACAUGUAUGAAACGUUAAAUAUAGACGAAAACAAAAAUUAAUUACACAGUUUAGCUGUAAAUCACGAGACGAAUCUUUUGAUCCUAGUUAGUCUAUAAUUAGAUAAUAUUUAUCACAAACAAACGAAAGUGGUACAGUAACGAAAACUUUUCACUUUUUGCAAGAAAAGGUAGCUCCCGUCAUGUCUCGCUCCCGUCCCAUCCACACCGACAUAUAUACAGGUCACCAAACAUAUUCAUCAUCAUGUCACACGCAAUCAAACAUACGGCCCCGCAUCGCCAAACAAAAUUUCCAUACCAAUUAAUUCAAACCGUCCAGUUUUGAAUUAAAGGCAUGCAGUUACAAUCAACUAAUGUAACCAAUUAACGACCCAUAUAUGAUAUCGAAAGGCAUAUCCUUAUUAAUCAAAGGCAUGCAUGUUACAAUCAACUAAUGAAACCAAUUAACGACCCAUAUAUGAUAUCGAAACGUAUAUUUAAUUUCACAUCCUGAAUUCCUAUGUACCUGCGCCCUACGUAUAUACUAGUACCCGCCUGCCCUCCUGCUACUGUGGUAGACGAUGCUAGCUAGCUAGCGCGGCUUCACUUCACGGCUGCUUCUGCCGCUGGUUCUCGAGGCCGACGGAGUUGUGCUGCCGGGACGGGCCGGACGGCGGCGCCGGCCUCCUCGGCAAGAACCCGAAGAAGUUGUUGGAUGCCCCACCCUCCAGCGGCCGGCCCUUGAACGGCUGCAUGCCGCCUCUCGAAGCCUGGCAGCAGCAGGUUGUUGGCAAGCAGAGCACGAGGACAAGGACGAGUAAGAACCAGCAGAGAAGCUGCAACUCCAACACAACCCUCUUGCUGCUGCUGUUGCUGCUUCUUCUUCUUCUCAGCUGCCAGCAGCAAUCCAUGAGUCUAGCUAGCUCCUAGAGCGAGCACUGGGAAGAGCUAGCUAGGCCGGAGGGAGGGAGAGGAAAUGGAGCCUGCCGAUGGCAAGUGUGUAGUGUGAAGGGGCUGAGAAAUGAUGAGUUUGGUUUGGUGAGUGCAAAAUGGAGAGAGGAGGGUGGAGGAGGCGGUGGAAAACUAUAUAUAGAGAGAGAGCUAGAGAGCAACGAAAACCAAAUGCGCAUAGAGAAUGUGCCUUUAUUUUCUAAACUAAUACAUAUAUGUGUAUAUUGUAUUAUUACUAUUACACUGUAGUAGUAGGAGCAUUGAGGCCUUGUUUAGAUCUAAGUUUGUUUUGAAUUUGGCUACACUUUCAUUUGUAUUUGAUAAGUAUUGGUCAACCAUGCACUAAUAACUAGAUUCAAAAUAUUCUCGUAAAUUACAGUUAAAUUAUGUAACUAGUUAUUUUUAUCUACUUUAUGUACGUAUCUGAAGAUUCAAUAUGACGAAGAAUCUUAAAAACUUCUUAAAUUUUGAAGUCAUGUAAAUAAGGCCUGACUCAUUCACAGUCCAGAAUGUAGGGACCGAAUCUUAUAAACUUUUUAAAUUUUUACCUGUAAAUAACAAUAUGAAUUUUUUGAGCUUAGUUAGUUUACAAUUGAACAAUAAUUGCUAAAUAAAAACAAAAGUGCUACGGUAUGCAAAACCAAAAAAAAAAUCCAUAACUAAACAAGGCCUUACACGCCGUCAGUACAGCAAGGGGCAGAGCUAACCAAACUGACAAAUUGGGGUUGUUUUCUUUACAUGAGCCGGGGACCGGCACAACUAGAAUUUUAGACUUCUCUUAGUAAGAUGGGUUUAUUCUACUAUUUUAGUAUUCAAAAUUUAGUAUAAAAUUUUUUCUACUAAAUGUCUUACAGUGAAAUUUGUAGGUGCUAUAACUAUUGAUAGUGUUUUAUUACUACUUAAAAACACUAAGAGAAGUCCAAUAUUUUGGUAGUGCGGGAUCAAGAUAAUUGUGAAGAAGAUAGUAAUCAAGGAACUACAUUAUGAACUACUAUAAACAAUGCAAAUUUAGGGUGGUAUAUACAUUUUUAUUGUGACAAAAGAAGAAUUAUAUUAGAUAAUAGCUAGGUACAUGAAUAUGAUACAAGCACUGCGGAUUACACAAAUAUCCAGAAAAAAUAUCUAAAUUUUACUCAAGCUGUGAAUAGCUUCGGAUCUCAAAACCAAACUUUGUACGAUGCUUUGUAGUAUGGAUGAUGACCGCAUAGGCAAACACUCAGCAAAAGGCCUGAGAACAGAUGCCCAACAAACGACGACCAAUAUUCAUAUAGGCAAAGUUGAGAAACUUCUUCUUUUCGGUGUCUUUCUUCUUCUUCUUUCUGCCACGGAAGAAUGAGAAAGACUGAUUGAAAACUUAUUCUUCCUCCUCCUUUGUCGUGGCCAGAUCUAACCAAGAUAAAACGAAGAAGAGACCGGAGAAAAUUAUUUCACGGUGGCGACACCAUCUCCGUCUUGAUAUCGUCGUGUGGAAAUAAAAGUCUCCAUGUUAUCAAAUCGGUAAGGAUGCCGACGCUAUAGUUGUUGCCCACAUCUUCAAUAAAGCUACCACAGAGAACACAAACCCUACUAUCUCACCAUCGCCAGAGAAGAGGAGGAGAAAAUAAAUCCCAAAACAAAAAAUCUUAUCAUGGAGAGACCAUAACCUUAAAGGACUCAAUCAAGUGGAAAAACUUAUUAAAACAAUAUAUCCCCACUCUCUUUGGCCUCUGGUGAUUAUCAUCGGAGGAGGAGGAGGAAAGAAGGAGGACCAAUAGUGAUGAAGGUAGGAGCUGCGGCGACGGCGACGUUGAGACGUGAGCUCUAACCACAGGUCGACGAGUUUGUGGCGACGCCUUUAGGGUGGUACAUACAUGGGCCGGCCGGCAUGGUCCUGACUUGUGUGGGUGCACCUACGUACAGAUCGACAUGCAGAGGCUGGAAAUAAAAGCUGUGGUCGGUCAUCAGUCUCUUAGUAGUCAUGGCGUACCCAGAUACAGUUGGAGACUUGAUCAAGUAUACUGCUGCCCACUCCACUUGGCCGGUGUGGUCGCGUGGAGGUGUGCACGGUGGGGCUCAGGAUGCUGAUCGCGCAUCGACGACGAGGGGGAGGUGCAUGCAUAUGCGGCCUGCUGCUGCGAGAAGAAACUGCACUACUGCAGGGCCUGCAGGGAAGGAGGAAGAUCACCACGCCAUGGGAUCGAAGAAGAAGAGAUCCAUGGCCGGCCUGGAGAAAAUGAGGACCCCUAUCCGUUUCCGGCCGAUUGGGCUGGUGAGGGCACUAAUUGCAUGCGUAGGUAACCGUCUCUGCAAUCAGUGGUACCCGUCAACGCUUUGUGUCUUGGCUUCGCUUUCGGGCCUCGUUUAGUUCUAAUUUUUUUUUGAAUUUUAAUACCGUAGUAUUUUCGUUUUUAUUUAACAAAUAUUAUCUAAUUAUAGACUAAUUAGGCUCAAAAAAUUCAUCUUGCGAUUUACAGAUAGACUGUACAAUUAGUUUUUGUUUUCGUCUAUAUUUAAUAUUUCAUGCAUGUGCCGCAAGAUUCAAUGUGACAGAAUCUUGAAAAGUUGUUCACAUCAAAAACCAAAAACUUUUCAAGAUUUCCCGUCAAAUCGAAUCUGCGGCACAUGUAUGGAGCAUUAAAUAUAUAUGAAAACAAAAACUAAUUACACAAUUUAUCGUAAAUCGCGAGAUGAAUCUUUUAAACCUAGUUAAUCUAUAAUUGGACAUUGUUUGUCAAAUAAAAACGAAGUGCUACAGUGUCGAAAUCCAAAAAAAUUCGGAUCUAAAUAAGGCCUAAACAAGACCUUUGCGUGUGGUGCCAUGUCUCCACGUGCUUGCUUUGGUGUACAACAUAUUUUUUUACACACUUAGAGAAUCAGUAUUUUCUAUUUUCUCUGUUACAGAUUAUAGUCGCUUUGUCGUUUUUUAUCUAUUUUGCUAUGUAUUUAGAUAUAAUAAUAUGUCUAGGUAUAUAGUAAAAUAGAUAAAUCUAAAAAGUCAAAAGGCACAACUCCACAUUAUGCAGUACUCAAAUACUUAAUGUUUCCUUAAUAUUUUUUAUGUGUUACUUGUGUAGUCAUGUUCUUUUCCCUCCAUUUCAAUGUAAGACACGGUUUCAUUUGGCAUUGCAUCUCAAAGUAGACUUUGACUUCCAGUUUCUCCUAUGCUAUAAUGUUUAUAGCAACACGAUCAAUAAGAUUAUCUGUGUGUUUGGCAAUAAUGCUUGUAUUAGUCUAUUGAUAGAAUUAAAUGAAAAUAUUUAGAGAUUUAUAGCACUCCCAAAUUUUCAAUGGAUGAGCUACGUUUCGACUCAAGUGGCUACAAAGUUUUUAUCUUUUGUUGAGUUAUAGAAAACGUUGCACCAUCAAGAGGGAUACAAAUUAUGUUGGUAAGACGAGGAUAAGGAUGCUCAGGUCUAUAUAUAUAAGAGACACACUUGCACUCAAGGGCACUUAGAAAAGUGUUUUUUUGCUAGGGUGCGCCGGUAGUACCGACGGUUUUAGUCGGUGAUACUGGUAGGUCAAAACUCUGCUCUAGUCUCCGUCUGAAGGUUGCGCAAAAAUGAACUACAGGUGGUACCGGAGUCGGGCUGGUAGUACCGACAUGCGUCGAUAGUACCGACAGGCCAAAUUUGCGCAAGCUGUGAGGUGCACAGAAUUGACCUGUCGGUAGUACCAGCCUUUUGCCGAUAGUACCGACGCUGGCCGAUAGUACCGGCUCAAGCUCGGUAGUACCGACAGGCCAAUUUUGCGCACUUCCUUGAUGACUGUAGGAGACUUUCCAACGUUCAGAUCUGAGGGUCGGUAGUACCAGUGUUUGGCGUCGGUAGUACCGAUAGUUGUUCUGAACAUAUAUAUAAAUAGCUCUCUCUCUCUCUUCACUUCUAACCUUGCGCACUUUACUUCUAACAGAUAGUUGACUCCACUCUGAGAAAACAACCUCCAAGCUUUGACUCACCCACUCUCUCUGCCUCCUUGCUCCUAGGCUUCAAUCCUUGAAAGAUUCGAGCUAGAGAAGUGAGAUUUGAGAGUUGGGAGCUUUGAUCCGCGACUUGAGCACUUGGUUUCUUCGUCUUGCUGGUUUGUUUGCAUUUGUUACUCUUGGGUUCUUGGAACCCUAGCCGGCUAGGCAUUCUUUGUGGUUACCCGUGUUGAUUCAUUUGUGAGGACACCCUGAAGUGUUUGUAUCAGCCUUUGAUUCUUAGUGGAAAUCUCGAUCUAACCUUCGUGGUUGCUUGGGAGAGGAGACCUAAGUGGUCGGACCUUCGUGGUCGCCUCAACAACGGGGACGUAGGAACUCCUUCGUGAGAAUUGCUGAACCUCGAGAAAAAUAUCUUGUCUUGCUGUGGAGGUAGCAUCAACUACCCUUGUUCUUGUGUUCUUCGUGUUCUCCCUCUCUAUCUCCUUUCAUAGAUGAACAAGGCCCGAUCUAUGUUUUGGAGAAGAGCCAAGCCCAGGGAACUUCGACAUCAUCCUCUACUACAUCUAGGAGAAUGGAGUAACUCUGAGAUCUAAAAUAAAACUCAAUAUACUCCGAUUUCAUAGCUCUCUUAGGGCGUCGGUAGUACCAACAGUUUGCGUCGAUAGUACUGGUUGUCUUACACUAGUAGUACCGGCCCAAACUGUCGGUGGUACCAAUAGGCAUUUAACUUCCGCAACAUGAGUUCUUGAGUUUUAGGUUUUUAAGAUACGCAUAUUCACCCUCCCUUUAGGCCAAUUAGAUCCUUUCAAUAAGUGAACAUGUCAAAUUAUGAAGAGCUAGUAGAACUACAGUUUAACCGUUACUAAUGUGUUUAGGAUUGUGAAACAACUUUGACAAUUUCAAAUGAGUAAGAUAAUUUAAUUUUGUAACAUUUGAAUGGUUCCCCUAAGAUAUGUUUCGAGUGAUCCACAAGAAUCUGAAAACACUAAAUCUAUUUUAUGGACUUAAAUAAUGAUCAUCCUGUCUGAAAUGCUAGAAUGAUUGGUUGGAGAUUGUAUUUAUUGAAAAUGGUUUGAGUACUAUUCUUUUACAUUGUAAUUAUGUCUAUCAUCUCUGAAUCUAUAAUCGUCACUUGUGUGGUUGUGUUCCAUUACAAUCCUAUCGAUUGAUUCAAUAUCAUCAGUCAUCAUGUCUUAACAAGUAAAAUAUAUCAUACAGGUUCCUCGUGACAUGCAGGUGCCCCAUGAGGAGGUACAUGAAUGUGUCUCCUGGAUUCUCAAGAAUUAUGGUUUCUGUCCUACUGAAGAAGUCAUCCGUGUUGGAAACCUGUACCUUCUUACGCUCUUGCUUUCCUUCAGUGGUAGUAAUUUGUUACUCAAGUAUUCAUUUGUUUCUUCUACUUGUUCUUGAAGCUAUCGUUAUGUGAAUGUGUUAUCUAAAGAAGAGUCACCUUGCAAAAAUGGUAUGCAAGCAUUUUCUGAUCAAAAUCUCAUUCAAAUUUUGAAGAAAAACAUAAGACCCAAUGAUUUUUUUGUAAUGGGAAACAUGGGAUGUGAAUGCCAUCAUGGAAGCUAAGGGACCCCUAUGUCAUCUUGCUAAAGCACAAAAGGUAAAGGUAUUUCUAUGAUCCUAUUGUAUUUCCCCAUCCCUUCAUGCGUAGGACAAAGCCACUCAUCACCCCGUAUGUCUUGCUUACCAUGUUUUCAUUUCCCAUUUCAUUAGUAUUCACCAAUUUUAGGUCAUCUUUCCUUAUUUUGGUAGUGCUUUAUUAUCGUAAGAUUAUGGCCAGUUGUUAUUUUAUAUCUCCCGUGCAUCUUUUGGGUUUGCCAGAUUGAGUCUUCUUGGGUUGAAAUAUUUGUGAAACAAUGGCAAUUUUGCGACAAGCUAAUCUCUUGAGCCACCAGGAAUGUCUUGUUAUGCUUUUGAUUUGUGGAUUACUGAUUCAGCAGCUUAUGUGCUGCUUAAACAUGUUCCAAAGUACUGUCCUAUCAAUCCUAUAAGGUCUGAGUUUUGCAUGAAAAAACAAUGGGAUUUUUGCAUGCGCCCACAUGCAAAAGGAACAUUGCAAGUUGGGGAGUUUGUCAUCCGUUCAGAUCAUGAUCUUUGUCGGACACGCUUCAGUUUUAUGUAUUCUCUCAUAUUCCAGCAGUGUUCAUUUUUCCCUUUGACCAGUUGAUGUAGCACCAAGUUUGGCAGUCCAACAAGGCUCGGUGUUGUCUUAUAUCUUCAGUUCUUAUUGUAAAGUUAGGGUGAACGAGAUGACCCUUUGGGGCUCUCGGUUGCAUGUUAAUAUAUGCAGAGAAUAGCCCUCUGCGUGGCUUACAGCACAAGAAGAUGAAUUACAACAAACUCUCAAAGAUCUCAUCUAGAUAACCACCUAGCUAGAUACAUGCAUCAUAUCUUCUAGUACAAGUAGCUAGUACAAGUAGUUACAAGUCAUCAUAUCUCAACAACUAAUUCUAAUACUCCCCCUCAAUCUUAGCCACUUACAAGGUUAAGAUUGUUUCUGAAUUUUCGUAAAUGUGCAGCCGAGAUUGCUUUGGUGAAACCAUCCGCAACUUGAUCGCCAGAGUUAAUGAAUCGAAUAUCCAGUAACUUAUGUGCCACUCUUUCUCUCACAAAAUGGAAAUCAAUCUCAAUGUUUUGUUCUCGCAUGAAAAACUGGGUUUGCUGAUAAGUAUUUGGCACCUAAAUUGUCGCACCAUAACCUCGCAGCUGAUGGAUGUGAUAUUCCCAACUCACUUAACAGCUUUUGCACCCACAUGAGUUCUGCAGUGGCGUUGGCUAACGCUUUGUACUCGGCUUCAGUCGAUGACCUUGAGACGGUAGCCUGUUUCCUUGCCAUCCAGGACACAAGAUUUUUGCCAAGAAAUACUGCGAAGCCUCCUGUCGACCGUCGGUCAUCCACAUCGCCGGCCCAGUCCGCAUCCGAGAACGCACUUACUAGCAUCGAUCUUGACUUCCUGAUUUUGAGACCAUACUUGAUCGUUCCUCGAACAUACCUUAAAAUCCUCUUCACAGCGCUCCAAUGAACUGAAGUAGGAGCGUGAAGAAACUGGCACACCUUGUUCACUGCAUAGGAUAUGUCAGGGCGUGUGAGCGUGAGGUAUUGCAAGGCCCCCACCAAGCUUCGAAACCGUGUAGCAUCUUCUGAACCCAGCGCCUCACCAUCAGUGAUACUGAGUUUUUCCGCGGUAGCCAUAGGUGUUUCAACUGGCUUUGCCUUGUCCAUGCCUGCACGAGAGAGAACAUCAUUGGCAUAUCUUUCCUGAGUAAGUACAAGUCCUUCUGAUGACUUCUUGACUUCUAUUCCAAGGAAAUAAUGAAGAUCACCAAGAUCCUUGAGUGCGAAGUCUUUCUGCAAAUCCUUUAGCAGUACAUUGGUUCCCUCUUGUGUAGAACUGGCAACGAUAAUGUAGUAAUCGCCCCUACUAUAAUAAAAUAGUGACGCAUCAGCUUUAGAGGGAAUGAAUCCCAAUGACUGCAACCUUUUACUGAGUCUGGCGUGCCACGCUCUUGGUGCCUGUUUCAGGCCAUAAAGAGCCUUGUCCAGCUUACAUACAUACUUGGGAUGUUCCUUGUCUUCAUAGCCCGGUGGUUGGUCCAUAUAUACUUCCUCUUCCAGGAUCCCAUGGAGAAAAGCAUUCUGAACAUCGAGUUGACGUAAAGACCAUCCUCUGGAAACUACAAUUGACAACACAAGCCGUAUAGUCGCUGCUUUUACAACCGGACUGAAGGUGUCUUCGUAGUCAAGACCAUACCGCUGCUUGAAUCCCUUUGCUACAAGGCGAGCUUUGUAGCGAUCAAUUGAUCCAUCUGCCUUGCGCUUAACCUUGUAUACCCAUUUGCAUCCUAUCACAUUCUUCCCUUUGGGACAGGGUACAAGGUGCCAAGUCUGAUUCUUCAUAAGUGCUUGAUGCUCAUUGUCCAUAGCUGCAUGCCAAUUUCUGUCAUUGAAGGCUUCAGCAAGGGACGCAGGUUCCCCUGAGGCAGUGCUUGCAACCAUGCCCCACCGAACCGUUCCAUCAGUGUAUGUCUUGGGCUUCCUAAUCCCACGUUGAAGACGAGUCACCGGGCGCAGUGGAGGAGCUGGUGCGGCCGUAGAGGAUCCAGGCGCAGGAGCAUCUGGCAACACAAUCGUCAUGGGAUCCAGUGCUGCCUCUGUCCCCUGGGCGUUGGGAUCCGGCUGCGACACUGGGACCGGCGCCGUAUCAGUGUGUGGCACGGGUAGCGGUGUAGAAGAUCCAGACGGGAGAUGUACCUCCGCUCCAGGCGAGGACACGCGCUCCUGAGCAGCCGUACCUCGGACAGCAGGACGCGGUGAAUUAGCAUCAACUGCUGUGUUGUCCCCAGUUGGGACACACAUGAAAUGACGCUCGCCCAGCGCCGAUUCUGGAUCAGUUUUCUCCAUGUGUGCACCUGCAUUCAACGAGUUUCCUGCACAACUUGAUGAGGGAUUAGAAGGUAAUGAAGACUCAUUAUUUUGACCAGGCAAGUACGAUUCCCCAGAACUAGCGUUUGAGAGAUGUUCGGGCAAUAGUGCAAUUUCAGCGCGAAGUUGAGCGCCGGCGUUAGGAUGGAGCACUGCGAACGGGAAGACAUGUUCAUCAAAAACAACGUCGUGUGAGAUAUACACACGACCAACAGAGGGAUCAAGGCAUUUGUACCCCUUGUGCUUGUUGCUAUAGCCAAGGAAGACACAUUUUGUGGAGCGGAAGGCGAGCUUUCUAGAGGUAUAGGGCCGCAUAUUGGGCCAGCAUGCACACCCAAACGACCGGAGGAAGGUGUAAUCUGGUUGUUGGCCGUAGAGUCGGAAAAAUGGGGUGUCAUUAUUGAUAACUUUGGAUGGCAAUCUAUUGAUUAGGAAGACCGCAGUGGUGAAGGCCUCGUCCCAAAAUUUAAGUGGCAUGUGAGCAAGAAGGGUUAGCCCAACUUCAACUAUAUGUCGAUGUUUCCUUUCAGCUGCUCCAUUUUGUUGGUGAGCAUGUGGACAGGAAACGUGAUGGGAGAUUCCCAUGCGAGUAAAGAAGGGACCAAGAGCUUGAUAUUCCCCACCCCAAUCAGUCUGUACAGCACGGAUUUUUUGAUCAAAUUGUCGCUCAACAAGCAUUUGAAAAUCACGAAAACAUUGAAAAACUUCAGACUUUCGACGCAACAAAUAGAUCCAUGUGAAUUUACUAUGGUCAUCAAUGAAACUCACAUAGUAAUUAUUUCGACCAACUGAACUAGGAGCAGGACCCCAUACAUCAGAGAAAAUAAGAUCCAACACAUUAUUUGAAACACUAGAGGAUCUAGGAUAGGGCAAUUGAUGGCUCUUUCCCUUUUGACAGGCAUCACAGAUGCUAGCUUUAUUCGACUCUUGGAUGAAAGGAAGCUUGUGGUGGUUGAGCACGCGCUGAACAAUGGAUGAUGCAGGAUGCCCUAACUGAUGAUGCCACAAGGACGCAGGAAGCUUGGUUACUCCAAGCACCUCUUUAUUUGAUCGCACGGGGUAAAGACCAUCCUUACAUGGUCCGGUGAGAAGUAUUCUCUUCGUCUGCUGCUCCUUCACACAAAAGUGAUUGGGGUAAAACUCAAAGAACACAUUAUUAUCACGAGCUAUACGGUUGACAGACAGAAGAUCUUUGUGUGCAGAUGGAACAUGAAGAAUGUUUCUAAGAUGCAGCUUACUAGUUGGGGAACGUAAAAUGCCAUGACCAAUAUUUUGAAUCUCCAUACCUGAGCCACUGGCCGUGUGAACUUGGUCACCGCCGUGGUAUUUAUCGCGAGUUGUGAGCUUCUCCAGCUCACUCGUGAUAUGAUCGGUCGCACCGGUAUCCAUAUACCAGUUGGUGUCGAUGCCGUAUGUCGAGGAAGUAGCCGUGGACGCCAUCUUCUGCGGAGGCCCAGUGAAGUCACGAUCAAAUCGCUUGAAGCAGCGAUAGGCUGGGUGGCCUUCCUUCCCGCACACUUGGCAGAUGACUCCUGGUUGGAAGGUACUCCGGCCGCCGUUGUUGCCAGCACCACGGCCAAAACCGCCGCGGGAAUUGCGGCCACCUCCGUUCCUGCCUCCGCUGCCACGGCCACCAUUGCCACGAUGAGGAUGGCCACCGGUGCGAUUUCCUUUGGUUGCCAUGUUCACCGAGGACUGACUGCCCCCAUUGCGCAUGUCGAGGCGUUGCUCGUGACUGAUUAGCUGCGUAAACAGUUCGCUAAUGGAAAUUGGUUCCACUCGAGCUGCAACAGCCGUCGCAACUGGAUCAUAAUCUGGAUCCAGUCCAUUGAGGAGGUAAGAGAUCAUCUCCUCGUCUUCAAGUUUGCGCCCUGCCACCGCCAUCUCGUCUGCUAGGGACUUGAUCUUUGCGAAGUACUCGCUGACGGUGGAGGUGCCUUUAGUGGCAUUGGCGAGCGCCAUCCGGGUGGAGAUCACCUUGACGCGGGACUGCGAUGCAAACAUCGCCCCAAUGGCCGCCCAUGCACCUUUGGGCAUGACUUCAGUGUUGACAUGGCCAAGAAUCUCUUUGGAGAGAUUUGUGAGCACAUAGCUCAGGACCAUCUGGUCCUUGGCCACCCACGCGGCGUAGUCAGGGUUCGCCUUGGGUGGAUCUGCUUCCUUCCCUGCCUCAACCGGCAGGUAUUUCGCCGGCGGCUCAGCAGUGCUCUCCAACCAGUCGGCUAGUUGGGCACCUCUCAACGCCGACAGCAUUUGUGCCUUCCACGAUUGAUGGUUGGCACGAUUCAGCUUCUCGGUCACCGGAGGAAGAAAGGCGGCGAGCGAGAGUGCAGCAGAAACUCCUAAGGAGGACGAAGCGGAAGCCAUGGAAGCAAUCCGUGUGGAAGAAGGCUCUAGAUAUCAUGUAAAGUUAGGGGAACGAGAUGACCCUUUGGGGCUCUCGGUUGCAUGUUAAUAUAUGCAGAGAAUAGCCCUCUGUGUGGCUUACAGCACAAGAAGAUGAAUUACAACAAACUCUCAAAGAUCUCAUCUAGAUAACCACCUAGCUAGAUACAUGCGUCAUAUCUUCUAGUACAAGUAGCUAGUACAAGUAGUUACAAGUCAUCAUAUCUCAACAACUAAUUCUAAUACUUAUAUAUUCUUACUAUAUUCGUACUGCUUUCACUUUGCCCUUUGACAGGUUGUGUCCCUUUCCCCGUUGACUAGGUAUAUCUUGCAAAAAGAUUUGCCCUUUUGUUUUUGUUAGGUCAGUUUGGGCUGGAAAAUGAAUGGUAAGUUGUCUAGAUUGUGGUUUGAGUAUCAAAGGUUGGUUCUCUUUUGCUUGGAACAGUUAGUCUUGUCAGAUGUCGUAAGCUGCACAAAGCCCUGAAAGGCUAAAAUGAAUGUGUUAAUUUUGAAAAGCAUGUCUUAUGGCUCUUUCACUGCCAAAAUACGAAAUGUAGGUGGUUUUUUGCAUGCCCUAAUUUAGAGAACGUCACUCUAAAAAAAACAUGCUUUUGUACAUUUAUGCUGGUUUCUCUCUUUGCCUCCAUUUUCUUAAUUUGUUGCUAAGCACUUAUGUGUGAUGAACCAUCAACUGGCUCCUGUUUUUUGAGAGAAUUUAAUGGAAGGACACUUCAAGUCAAUUCGCUUCUGUGAAAACUUGGGGCUGCCAUAGCAUUUGUGUUCAGUCAAAACACUCUCCUCACAAAGGAAUGGAAUACCUUUUACCUUUGAUGACUAUAAAUAUCUAAAAAAAUCAUCGAUUAACAAUGAUUCAUUAUGAAAAUAAUUUCAUAAUGUCUGUCUGUCUGUCUGUCUCUGUCUGUCUGAUGAGCUCUCUUUGGGCCGAUGGUUAUAUGCCUGGCCCCUGUUUUAUAUUUGUCAAUGUGAUAUGAUUAGAGAUAGGCAAGGAUAUUGUUGAUGGGUGAUAUUUCUAUAAAUCAGUCAUAGGAAUUCUUGGUCCUUGCCUACAUGUAUCUGCUCUAAUCAACCUAAUUAUUCAUUCAAGAACCAAUUUGUCUUGCAUGGUAUCAGAGGGUCGAUCCUUACCCUAACCCUCUGCACAACUUCUCUUCUCUUCCCAUGGGGAUCAACGUGGCUGACGGUAGGCCUCCCUCGUCUCGUGCUGCUGUCCGGUCAAGCGAACACCUCACUGCCUGCCACUAAGAGUGAGGCCAAGGAGAACUGCGAGCGAGACGCCUAGGCUGCUCGUGACGCUGCUCUUGCUCGUGCCUAGGACGCUGGGUGCAAAGCCGCCGCCGCUGCUGCCAAGGAGCGCGACGUGGCUGCCACCCACGCGCGAGGUGCCCUCGUCCGUGCAUUGCGCAGCAGCUGCCUUCGAUCCACAUUCAGAUGACGAUGUAAUAAGUGAGCUAGUAAAAAAAUCUCCUUAUGAUCGAGUAGCUUUAGUGAUGUUGCAUUUUCUAUGAUUAUGAAUAUAGCAUCUAACAUCUGAGUGGGUGCUGCUUUGAUGUCGUCCCAUGUUUAAAAGGAAGUGUUUUCUUGGCUUGUCCAUACAGACACACCGGAUGUUUUGUAUUUUCUGACAUUUCCAUAUUUUAUUGAACUUUGACAGGUGAAAAAUAAGGGCAACUUUAGUGGUGAGUCGAUUCACAGAAGAAAAAGGACGCCCACGUCAGUUUUAGAUGAGUCGGUUUCUAAGCUAAGUGGACCCUAUGCACAAAUAAACAAAACUAUUACAUCUAUGUUGCCAAAUAAAAAAAUAAUUUUCUACUUGCUUUUGUCCGAUCAUUCUCUCAUCAGCCGUUCCUGCUUUUUUAUUUUAAUCGUUCUUGCCGGCAGUGAGUCGACUCAUGCAGGUGAAUCGGUUCAAUCUCUCUCAUCGAAUGAGUCGAUUGCUCCAGUGGUACGAGUCGACUCAUGGCUUGCCACCUCAUCCCAUGAGUCGCUUUUCAAAGCCCACUGGAGAAGCCCUAAAGGACCUAGAGGAUGGGAACUCAAGUAUGCAAGGAGAAGUUUUUUUUUUUUCCAUGUUGGAGAUCAGUAUUAUCAUCCCGAGUGCUUGUGAAUAAAUCAGUAGGCCAAGGAUCUUCCCCAGCUCCAGAUCUUAGUCUUGGUCUGUUGGAUAGGGUUCGGCAAUUAAGAAAUUUUCAACCCACAAGGACGUUUUGUAGUGCUGCAUUGCCACUGUUGAAGAUUUUGAGGAAUGCAUGAGCAGGAGGUAGGCCAUAAGUCGCUGCAGCUUAUUUGGCUGCAGCUGCAGCUGUGUGCCUGUGUCUAGUGUUAUCUAGAGCACACACGGUAGUUCUAUAUGGAAUAAACGGAAGGAAGGUCAAUAGGCUAAUAUUAUUGUUUUUGUUAUAAGUUUUAGUUCUUAGUUUUUCUUUGUUUGUAUCAGUGUGGAUCAAUAUGACUUUAUAUUAACUUGGAUACUCAGUUUCUUGGAUUAAAUUCUUCUAUUGACGUUAAAAUUGUUGUUAAUUUACAAUCUAAUUCCAUGUUGGUUAAACUAACUUGGUUUUGGUUCUUGGGAGGUAAAUGUUGUGCUGUUAGUCCAGUUUUAAUGAGGCCUUAUUAAAGUUUUAUGGACAUUAAAUAUGCUGAUAUAGCACCAUAUUAAUGAAGAGAGAGAUAAUAAUAGUUUUAUGAGAGUAGAGAGAGUUUGAUGGGGAUGAAACUCUUCUGCCCUAUUUCUAAAAUAUGGAUAUGUCUGAAAUUGGAUCACGAAGACUUCACUGAGGAUGGCUUUAGGAACUUUUUGUCUUUUGUUGUUAUUUUUCUUGUAUGUGCAGCUUACGUACCACUCUUUUUCUAUUGGAUAAAGAACAGGCUUCAACCAAAGAAAACUAGGUAGUACGUAUACACAGUCUUCUUGAAGCUACGACCUUGCAUAAUGUUUAACUUUGUGGUAUGCACGAAUGAACUUUAAAAACUAUAUAAGCGAAAGCCGCUUUGGUCGUGAUUAGGAUUGAGUUGGGCCAUCUUUUGGAUGCUUUUCCGGUCAAAGUGCGCAUCGAUGAGUUCAGUCAGGGCAGAUCAGUACGGCAUCGAGCUAAGGCCUUGUUUAGUUCCAAAAAAGUUUUGCAAAAUUUUUUAGAUUUUUCAUCACAUCGAAUCUUUAGACACAUGCAUGAAGUAUUAAAUAUAGAUAAAAAUAAAAACUAAUUGCACAGUUUGGUCGAAAUUGACGAGACGAAUCUUUUGAACCUAGUUAGUCUAUGAUUGGAUAAUAUUUGUCAAAUACAAACGAAAAAGCUACAGUAUCAAUUUUGCAAAAUAUUUUGGAACUAAACAAGUCCUAACUUAGCUCAAUCGGGGUUGUUUUGUUCCCUUGGACGGACGAGCCACAAGAGAUGGUUGGCGCAAAGCGUUGGGUGCGGCCAGCUCCUCGAUCAACCAAAAGUGCACUAACGCUAUCCGCGUACUAUAUAUAUUUCUUUCUUCCAUAUAAAGUGGCCCAAAUUGUCCGUGAUUUCACUCAAAGUGACUGCACACAAUGAUGCUCAUGCAUGCUGGUCGCGCAACAGGGGGAGACGAUGGCCGAGGUGGGGCGGGCAUCUCCAUUUUGCAUGAUGGGACUUGGAACAGAUUAAGGUCCAUGAUUUGACUGACACAAUGAUUAUUAUGCAGAUUUUUUUUCCCUUUCCAGACAAAUCUUCUGCCAUUAUAUUUAUGCGGUGUCGCUUCCGGUCUAAGAUGUGGAGUCCAUAAUAAAGUGACUUUUUUUAUCCAUUUUGUAGACGUGCGACUAGUAGUUUAGCUAUAAAUAAAUUUACCCGGCCUGUCAACAACAGUAUAAGCACAGAUAUGGCCUGUCAUUGGGGAAGCUAUUAUUGCCCUAUAUAUGAAGAAUCCGCCAUGCUCGCUGGGCACCAGCAUGCAUAUGUGCCAUUAAUCUGUGUGCCGGCAUCACAGAGAAUAUUUCGUCCAUCAGGUUAUUUUAAGCUUGGUCUCAGUUGGGUGCCUUGACUACAACAAACCAAUAAUGCAAUGUAACUAGGGUCUGGUUUAGUUUCCAAAACCAAUAAUUGGCCUAUCCAGCGCCUAUGCAGUAAAUUUCAGUCUUGUAUCUAUUUUUUUAUUAGAUAACUAGUUCUUGCUUGUACUAUAUGUUGCAAUCAUUUUCCUUGUUUUGCUUGUACUAUAUGUUCAUGCUUUGAGGGUCAGCUAGCUUCGUAGGAUCAUUUGGUAUUGAAAACUCUUGUCGAAUGGCGACGAAGAUAAAUGUGCAAAGCCGAAGACAAAUGCGUGAGGCCAAAGACAAAUGGCUCACUUGAGGAUAUGACAAAGACGAAGCUAGACCAACACGAAGUCAAUAUGAAUCCAACCUGUGUAGACCCCUUCGGCGUGCGAAGGCUCACCUCUUUCAACAAAGCCAAAGGAAUAAAUAAUUUUCGUUGUAUAAGGACCAAGUUGCCCCUAGCUGAAAUAGAGGUUAGUUUUGAGUGUAAUAGCAAAAUUAGGGGCAAAAGGGGAAUUGUAUAAAGUCGAGGGCUUCCCCACUAUAAAGAUCCCCUAACAUAUACAUUUUUUAGACAUGAAAUUUUUAUCGGUAAUGAUAAUGUGCGGGCGUCCGUCCAGUCCAGACGCCACGCACCCGGGCCUGCGGCCCAAUAAAUGAUGUUGCCGAACCAAUCUUAUCUAUCUCUGUUGUCCCUUUCCUCGAAUCGCACUCCUGCAGCGCUCGUGACGCUCUCCUCGCUCUCUCCUCCUCCUCCACUCCCUCGCUCUACUUGUGUGGUGUCAUGCCUCCCCUCUCUCUGUGACCUACAAGCCACCGGAGAGGAGGACGACAUCGAUGGCUUUCGGCGAGCUCCCUUCCUUCCUCCCUUCCUCCCUCCCUCCAUCCCUGCCCCUUUCGCAACCUUUAUAUCAUCAGAGAGGAGGGAUACGACGUUCGCUGAGUCGCGUCUUUCCUCUUUGUACCGCUUCGCGACCUCCAUGGAACCGGAGACGAGAACGACGGCGGUGGCUCCAAUGAGGUAGGUGGCGGAGGGAUCUAGAUCUGAGGCCUUCCUCCCCCUCUCUCCUAUCCUAGAGUCCUGGAUCUAAUCUGGCCCCUCCUCAUCUUCCUCCUCCUCCUCCUCUAGAUCUAAGGGAUGUGGUGGUGGCUAGGGUUUCGGUGAGCUCUUGAGGUUCAGCUCUCUCGUGUGUUGCAAUGGUGUUCUCCAGAUGUUGUAGCAUAUUUUCACUUGUUGUUUUAGUAGGCUAGGCUUCUGGCAAGCUCUCGGGUUCAGAUUUCACCUUUGUUGCAAUAGUUCCCUCUGGAUGUUGCAGCGGGUUUCAGUCAUUGUUGGAGUACUUCUUUUUUGAUAUGUUGUUUCAUUUUCUUCAGUCUGCAUGUUGCAGUAGUUUGUUGCCUAUUGUUGGAGCAGUUGUCGGGUGUUGUUGUUGUAGUAUGUUCAUUGUGUUUCAGCAGCUGCACCAAAUGUUUCAGCUAUUUUUUCUUUGUUUGUUUAUGUUCAAGGUGUUUCAACUUCAUCAUCCCAGUGUUGGAACUGUUGUCCUUUUUUGUUGUUGCACUGCUAUGCGUUCAUAGUGUUUUAACUGCUAUAAUUUAUUGUUACAGUAGUUCGUCGGGCGUGUUGCAAUAUCACGUUUUUGGUGUUUCAACGUCUUCAUCCUUAUGUUGCAGCGUGCAGACGAGGGAGGGGGAGGGGAGGGGAGCUGUGGUGGUGACUUUGCAGUUGAUUGGACAAUACUCCCUCCGUCCCAAAAAAAAGAGUGUCGUUUUAGAAUUUUAGACAUCUUAAUCAUUCGUCUUAUUUAAUUUUUUACAUAAAUAUUAUAUAUUUUGUUAAGACUUAUUUUAUCAUUAGAGAUACUUUACUAAUAAUUUAUUUAUUUUAUAAUUUAUAAAAAAUUUUUGAAUAUAACGAACGGUCAAACAUGAUGUCUAAAAAUAAAAAACGUUACUUUUUUUUGGAUGGAGUGAGUAUUUAUGAAAUAGAAACGAAAGUGCUACGGUGGUGUUUAUUUUGUAAAAAAAGUUUGUAAUUAAACAAGGCUCCAGACUCGUCUCUAUAAGGAGGUGCAUUUGCAGAGUCGCAGAGAACCAGAACCACACGCACACGGCGCUCCCGCUCCUCGUCCGCACCGGCGAAAACGUGCACCUACGGGGUCGUGUCGACCAAAGCAGGCACGGACAGACGCAGGCGCAGCCACACAGUCACACAACAGCCAGCGAGAAAGAAAAAAACGCCGUGCGACACCACACGUCCACACCAGCAGUCUGGGCCCAGUGCGGCGGGUUACGUCGCGUCGCGGACGUCGACCGACCGACCCCGUAUCGCGACGGCUUUGACCAUGGACCGACGACCGGGGCACUCCCUGCCUCACGCACGCACUGCUGGGCCUCCGAAUUUGCCCUCAUAAAAAACUUUUUAGAUUUAGAGACUAUAGUAUUUUUGUUUAUAUUUAUUAAUUAUUAUUUAAUUAUAAAUUAAUUAUAUUUAACAAAUUUAUCUUAUAAAUUAUAGAUAAGUUGUAUAAUUAAUUAUUUUUUUAAUUUAUAUUUAAUGUUCUAUAUGUAUAUAUUGUAUGAUUUGUUGUAAUGUGAAAUUUUUAAAAUAAAAAGAUUUUAGGUGAGACUGGACCAGGCAGCAGGGGGGAGUAGCCAGCCGGGAAAGCAACCUCUCACCCCGCCCCAUACGUCACCCUCAAUUUCUUCCUUUUGACUCCCCUACUACCUUUCCUGCCUGCCCUGCUUUGAACACAGCCCUCUUUUUCCCUUUCAUGUAUUCCACACCCUCUUUUCUAGUUUUUGACUAAAAAAAAGUACCUCAUGUUUGCAAAUAUGUGUCUUAUUCGUUUAGCUGAUAAGCUAUGAUAGAAAGUAUUGUUGGCUGAUUUAUUGUGAGAGAAAAACACUACUGAGUGGCUAACAGAUUCGGCUGAUAAACUCAAGAAAACGCUAAUGUGCUUGUAGAAUAAAAAAAUCGCAUUUGAGCUUGAUGAUGAUAAGGGGGUUUGUGGGUGCGAGGGGAGAUUUGGUAUGGUGUUACCCAUGUAGCCUCUCUGCAAUCAGAUACGGUGUUGAUAUAGAAUCUUAUAAGAUCAACCUAUGUAGCCUCUCCGCAAUCAGAUACGAUGCUGAUAUAGAAUAUUGUAAGAUCUAUCAAUGAGAACCACUUCAUACUAGUUUAAUCUAUCUAUGCUAAGUUAAUUUAUAUCAUUCUCACUAAGUUUUUUUUUUUGAAAAAAACAAGAAGCAUGUAUCAAUAUAUACAAGUUGAAAUAAACAUACUACCAAGACAUAUUUCAUGUAGAAUUUAAUAAAAGCUUAUUUGAUGAUGCGAAUAUUGGUGCAUUUUUAAUAUAAUCUCUCCACAUACGGAGUGUAUCUCCACAGCCUGGCACGCCGCUGGUUGCGUGGAAACACUAUGGACGUCACACCUUUGCUCCAAACCAAACAAUGCUACUUGGCUAUCAUGAAGUGUGGCGUGGCUGGUCGUGCCUUGCAACAAAACACUCUUAGAGUACACAUGUUUUCUACCAUUUUAUGUUAAAAUUGCCGAUUGGUAGAGCUCGAGAAGUUUAAUAUCAUGAAUUCACUAAGGUCAGUCUCAAUGCAUGUUUCAUGAGAGUGUCAUACACAUUAAAUAGGAUACCACAUAAGCAAAAUUGCUGACUUGGCAGGAUCAUUAAAUGAAGGAGUUUCAUCAGAUGUGAGAGGAGUUUCAUCCCCAUAAAACUCUUGUGGCUCAGUUACCUAGUUACUAGUAUUGUUAACUGUGUCAUUAAACUAUGCAUUGAGACUGGCCUAAUAGUGCCAUGAAUUCAAUACCACUAAAAGUUCGAGCCAAUAAUAAUUUUGGUUUUCUCCUUGAUUAAAACUCCGAGUUGCUAGAUGUUCUUUGGCGAGCAUAGAUGUUUUGUAGAAGAAUAUGGAACUCACAUGGAUUUUGUAUUUUGAUUUCUUGACUAUGUAAAUGUAUACGCUUCAACGCCAUAUAUAAGGAAAACAGAACCAAACAAAAAGGCUUUUAAGCGUGGAAGGAAAAUAUAUAGUGUUUGAGGGGUACACGUGAAGACUUCUCCCGGAGAGGGAAAAAAAAAUUGUAGUAACUGUUACGUUUGACACGAGCACGGUAGAGCCGAGCCGACGCGAGGACGACGACCACCAGUCCACCACCGUCGCUUUUCCUGGCCUUCCAUAUACCAGCACCCGCACCACCUCCACCUCCCUUUCCCUUUCUGGCCGCAUUCCCUCGUCCUCCGGCCGGCAGCCGUCGUCGCCAGCAGGAGCUUCCGAUGGUCCGGAAGGAGACGGCCAUGAGGCUGCCCCCGCAGCACCAGGCGCUGGAGGUCAAGAUCCCCAGCUUCUUCCGCUGCCCGAUCUCGCUCGACGUCAUGCGCUCGCCCGUCAGCCUCUGCACCGGCGUCACCUACGACCGGGCCUCCAUCCAGCGGUGGCUCGACUCCGGCAACACCACGUGCCCGGCCACCAUGCUCCCGCUCCGCUCCACCGACCUCGUCCCCAACCUCACCCUCCGCAGCCUCAUCGCGCACUGGGCCGCCUCCGCCGCCUCCUGCUCCCCCACCGCCACCGACAAUUCUUCGGCGACACGGACCUCUUCCCCCGCGAGCCUCGUCCGGCAGGUGGCUUCCGCCGGCGUCGACCCGUCCCCGGCCCUCCGCGAGCUGGCCGCCUAUCUCUCCGACGACGACGUCGACGACUUCGAAAAGAACGCGCUCUUGGGCGCCGGCCGCGCCGCCGAGACCGUCGCGUCGGUUCUCCGGAGAAGACCCGAGGAAACCGGCGUCGAGGGCGUGGAGGCGGCAACCAGAGUGCUGGCCAAGAUCUUGGCCUCGGACGGCAUCGACGACGCGAACAAGAAGCGGGUGGCCACCGGCCUCACCGCCGACGCGGCGGCCUCGGCCGCGUCGCUAGCGCGCGUGAUGCGCCGCGGUAGCGGCGGCCUGGAGGCGAGGGUCGACGCGGCGAGGCUGGCGGAGCUGCUGCUCGCCAAUGCCGCAGACGAGGCGGCGAAGGCGGCGGUGGCCGAGUCGUCCGAGCUGCUGGCCGAGCUGGUACGGCUCGUGGGCACCGUCGACGAGAAGGGCGCCCUGGAGAGGAACGCCGUGGACGCCGGCCUCUCCUGCCUUGCCGCAGCCAUCUGCGUCUGCGGCGGGUCGCGCCGCGCCUGGGCGCGCGGCGAGAUGGUGCGCCUGGGCGCGGUCCAGGCCGCGGUGCGCGCCCUGCGCGCCGCCACGACGGAGCCCGGCGCGUCCGCGAAGGCGCUCCGCGUGCUCGAGUCCGCCGUGGGCUGCGCCGAGGGCCGCGCCGCGCUGUGCGGUGACGCGGAGGAGGCCAUCCCGGCCGUGGUGGGCAGGAUGAUGAAGUCCGGGCGCGACGGCGCCGAGGCCGCCGUGGCCGUGCUCUGGGCGGUCUGCCACCGGUACCGGGACCGCCGCGCGGCGGACGCGGCCGCGGCGGCGGAGGGCGGGCUGACGAGGCUGCUCCUGCUGAUGCAGAGCGGGUGCUCGCCGGCGGCGAGGCAGAUGGCGCUGGAGCUGCUCAAGAUUUAUAGGGUGAACGCCAAGAGCUGCCUCGCCGGCUACGACUCCAAGACCACCCACAUCAUGCCCUUCUGAGGAAGCGAAGCGGACGAGAAUGGCUUGCCGGAAUCCUUCCUGGGCUAGCUGAUCAAAUGGAUUCGAUGAAUCGAUUAAAUUGCAGGCGAUGGUGUUCUUGUUCCUGUGAUGUUUCUUGAUAUUUUUUUCCAUUUUCUUUUGAUGUAAGUCGAUAGAGAAACAAAGAACAAUUGGUUCAUGGUGGAGGGGAGAAGAAUAAUAAUCUGUACAGUUCAUGGGUAGAGUUUUUGACAUGAUCAGAACAGGCACAGGGGACAACUUAACCAAAGAAUUGAUUUUUUAGGCCAAAGCAAUUGGAAGCGUUUGAUUAUUCCUCCUGAAAGAUUUGCGAAUUUUCAGAGAAAUGAUGAUCGACAGGAGAUGUGGAAUGAUAAGGUUGUUACUGGAAGCAAUAAUGCUUGUUGCUGCUCACAUCAAAACUUACGAAGAAGCUGAACGACGACGAUCACAUCAAAUGAUUUCAUUUCGAAUCAUUGGUCUGCACUUGUGGUAAUGCGUACGUACUAGGUUUUCAUAGAAGUGCUUAUCAGGCAACAAGUUGUAGAAUUGCCUAAUGCAGGAUGUCGUGGUCUGGACUAGAAGGACAGAUUACUCCUACAAAUCCGUAGUCUGAAAGCAAGAUCAACAAGACAUGGGUACAGCAUGCGCACUACUGGCCAUUAGGAUAGAAAAGCCUGGAUGGAGCACGUUCACGUUGCCGCUGACCAGAGCCCAUGAUGGAUUUGACCAGUGUAGCAUCACGUCUAGUUCACUCCACCCACUCAUGACUGACCCACAAGUCAUGAGACCAGAUGUCUUGGGUGAGCUCUAAGCAUAACCCAGCUAUGUAAUCCCAAAGUAUACUCAGUUUGUUUCUCGUCUUCACUAUUGGAAUAAUUUAUAGACCAGAGUGCUUGUCCCCAUGCCCAUCGGUAACCGGUGAAAGGAACGUUUUGUGCAUCAUGUUGCAUGUUUAAUUAGCACUUGAUCACUAGGCAAUCUUCGUGAAAAUGGGCCUAAUUUUCACACCUAGGAUCUUCCGGCUUAGUAUUGUACUCCUUCCAUCCCAAAUUGUAAGUUAUUCCAAGAAUCUUAGAGAGUGAAAUCAUUUUCACGUUUGACCAAAAUUAUAGAAAAAAAUACUAAAAAUUGUAAUGUAAAGUGAGUAUACUAUAAAAAUAUAAUUAAGAAAUAAUCUAAUAAUACUUAGUUCGUACCAUAAUAAUUAUCAUUUUAUAAUAUAAAUUUGGUCAAACUUAGAAAAGUUUGACUCUCCAAGAUUUUUGGAAUGACUUACAAUUUGGGAUGGAGGAAGUAGAUCGUACUGUCUACCAUCACAAUAUAAUUAAGUUCAUUAAUCAGAUACAAGAUCUUCAAUGUGUCAUUUUGACUACACUUAUGUAGGAAUAAAUAUCUUAUCUUAGACAAAAAGGGUUAUAUGCUAUGUUGAAUAUAUAUUAGUAUCAAUAUUAUAUUGUCAAUCUAUAUGAGUCUUUACACAUUGAUUGUCAAAUCUAGAAAAAAACUAAGAAAAAGUUUAGCUUAACACAAAUCUUGAUGUAGUCAUGUUUGUGAUUAGAGAAAGUAACUCCAAAAUGGUCAUUGAGUUAAAGAAAAGCUAAAGUCGUCAUUUACACUCAGGAGUCCGCACUCCGCAUCAAAAAACAUGCUUGCUGGGUCCUUUUUCCACCCGACAUCUAAGAGCAUGGCCAACAUAAGGCCUUGGGCCUUGUUUACUUCCAACCCAAAAUCUAAAAUUUUUUAUGAUUCUUCAUCACAUCGAAUCUUUAUACACAUGCAUGAAGUACUAAAUAUAACGAAAAUAAAAACUAAUUGCAUAGUUUGGUCAAAAUUAACGAGACAAAUCUUUUGAGCCUAGUUAGUCCAUGGUUGGACAAUAAUUACCACAAACAAACGAAAGUGCUACAGUGUCGCGAAAUUUUUCCCUUCACCAACUAAACACGUUGGUGUUGUUAAAUUUUAACUCCUAUCACAUAUUUAGAUAUAUGUAUGAAGUACUAAAUGUAGACUAUUUACGAAACUAAAAACACAACUAGAGAGUAAUUUAUGAGACGAAUUUUUUAAGUCUAAUUAGUCUAUGAUUCGAUACUAAUUGUUAAAUAAAACGAAAAUGCUACAAUAACUAUUAAGCUUUAACACAUCCAACCAUAUCCUAAGAUUUUUGGCCGCCUCAGAAUAAAGUUAACAUACACGUAGAAAAGAUGGAUGGGAGUCACUGAUCUCUCCAGUGCAAGCUAACAGGUUGGUUGAUUCUGCUCCACUGCGGCCUCACUUUUCCCUCCCAAUGUUCGCUCUUGCAUGCCGGCUCCUCUGCAGCCUUAGUAACUUGUUGCAUGGACGUAACUAAAGCAAAAAAAAAAAAAAAAGGUUGGAGGUCUCGGAGUUCUUGACUUAAAACUCACAAUGAGGCACUUCUUCUUAAGCAGUUACAUAGAAUUUUCAUUUGUGAUGAAGUUCCCUGUGUGCGUUUAGUCUGAGAGAAACAUUACUCCAAAGGGAGAUUGCCAAAUCAUACAAAGAAAGGGUCUUUUUGGUGGCAAGAUAUCUUGAAAUUGCUUGAUAAAUUUAAAGGUCUGGCCUCUGUUCAGAUUAAGGAUGGAGCUUUCUGUCUUUUUUGGGAUGAUUAAUGGGAUGGUUAACCUCUCAAACUUUCUUUUCCAGAACUAUUCUCUUUUGCUAAGAAGCCAGUUAUCUCUUUCAAGAGUGUACUUGCUGUGAGUCCUCCUUUUGGCCUUUUCAACUCCCCUAUCGGUUCAGGCUUUUGCUCAAUUUUAGCGCCUGUUUGGAACGUAGUUUUUUCAUAGGAAAAGUAAAGAAAACGAAAACGGAGGAAAGGAAAAUAAGGAGACCGUUUGGAACGAAGGAAAUGAAUGAAACCUUUCCUCCGGAAGACUGUAGCAACAACACGAUUUCACAGGAAAAAAAGCAUCUGCUCUCACCUCUUGUUUUGCUUUCUUUUGCGCUUGCCCGAGAAAAAUCAAACGGGAAGAGAAAGACGAACAGCUAAUCACUAUAAGAACGGAAUGCCCCGCUGCCAAAUCCGGCCACCACGCCACUGCUCCGCUCUAGGCUGGGGCCCGCUGCCUGCGCCUGGCACUGUGCUGCUGCUCCGCCCCAAGCGCGCAGCAGGCUGCUGCUGGUCGCUGCUCCGCUCUGCGUCACGCUGCCGAGUCCGCCGGCAUCAUGCAACUAACACAGUAUAUAUUAUCAUUUUAUUAAGCACUAACAAUGACUCUUUAUCAUUCACAGACUCAUGAUUCCCUUGUUAUGAAUUCCUGUGUUCCAAACACCCCUUUCAAGUUAUUUCCUGUGUUUUUCCUUUCCUCUGUUUUACCACUACAUACUACAUCCUAUUAGAGCAACUCCAACAGCUUUGCUAUUCUUAUUAUGAAGACCUUUUAGAACUUGUAUAGCAGAAAAAUAGCCUCCAACAGAUGUGCUAUUUGGUUUUGUAAAAUAAAAAGUUUGCUAUUCCUUGAUUUUCGUUGGCCAUAUAUAGCCAACCACUGACACUAGCUAUCUGAUAGCAAGGCUGUUGUAGAUCUCUUUUUUUUAAGAAGUUUUUUAUUUUACAAAAUGGCUAAACAUUAGAAUUUGGCAACUAAUUUUAGCCAAGCUCUUGGAGAUGCUCUUACUGUGUUUUUUUCCGUUCCUCCGUUUUCUAUUCCUGCGUUCCAAACAGGCCCUUAAGAGUUGCAAGAAAUCCUGCAGAACUUAGUGCCCAGCAAUGAUUUGGAUACUUGGUACUAUAUUUGGGGAAAUACUUCUUUUACAUCCAAACAAGCCUAUAUUCAUCUAAUGGAAGUAAUGUGGUAGCUCCAAUCUUCAGUUAGAUCUGGAAAUCCUCUUGUCAGCCAAAGCAUAACGUGUUCUUCUGGCUCCUUGUACAGGAUAGGGUCAGUACCAGAAAGUUAUUGAGAAGAAAGCAUAUGUUCCUCCCUUCCUAUGAUUGUAUCUUGUGCAAUGCAAGUUUUGAAGAAAUUGUGGACCAUCUACUCCUAGAAUGUAGCCAUGCCAGGGAAUGUUGGGCCUAGAUUGCCCUAACAGUGAUUAGCUCACCGGACCUGAUCCAAAGAUUUGAAAGCUUUCAAACACAAAUUGCAAAAAUAAUUCUUCAUGGAAGUAAUUAUCAUCAUGUGCUGGAGCAAUUGGACCAUUAGAAAUGAUAAUAUUUUCAAAGGAAUCCUAGCUUGCAGCCUUCGAGACAUAGAAAUCUUCAAAAACAUCUUCAAACAACUCCUAUGGAGAACAAAGAGGAAAUAUUUUCCAGCUAUUGAGUUAUGGCUAUAGCAAGUUGUGUAAUUGCCUUAAUUUUUUUGUUUCCUUCUUUGUCCCCUGAACCCCAACCUCUCUCUCUCCCUUCUCCUUUAAGCUUUUGUAACUUCUCCUUGGUUAUAGUUUUUUUAAUAAAUUCUUCGGUAGAGGUCCUCCUGAGCCUCUCCUGUUUGUUUAAAAACACAUUAGGCCUGACGUGGUGUUCUCUUACUAAGCCUUGGCAAGGGAAACGAAUUCAUGUAUGUAUGCUUCAAUUUAAACAGUUAACAUCUCGUCCUAGUUGUAGCUUAGCUGCUUAGCGCAUGUUGUGAGUUAGUGCCACAUUGUUCAACCUGAGUAGAGGGCGACGGGAGUGAGUUCUUAGUAGGACCUAGGGCAACAUUUGUAGUUCAAUUCAUCCAUGCCCUUGGUCAUUUUGGUUGAGACUGAAUUGAUUUACAAUUAUAUAUACUCCCUUCGUCCUGGAAUAGAGUACAUUCUGGCAUUUGAGAUGUGUCCCCAAAUAUAGUACAUUCAAGGAACAAGAAGAUAAUCUUUACUUAAAUAAAGUUAUGGAAGAGAAAAGUGAUUGAGUGCAUGCCAUAUUUUCUAUAAGAAAACUUAGAUUGCACCCCUUAAUCAUGCGAAUAGGAUCAGAUUUCAAUAGAUUAGGAAGUUAAGUAAGGAGCACAUGUGUCUAUUGUCUUCUCUCUUAUUUUAUCUUAGAAUAGUCACAACGCACAGUAUUGCAGGACGGACGGAGUAGAUAUAGAUAUAGAUACAAAAGAUGUCUUUUUUGGCUCAGAAAAAGAAUUAAUUCCUUUUUAAAUUAAAGGUUUGAAUCCUUAGAAAAACCGAUCCAAAACAAUGUUUUAUAGGUGUCCGAUAUUAGUUAGAUAUAUUUUAUUCAAUUUUUAGAUAUAUGUUUUUUGGGUAUAUUUUAUUUGUAUAUCUAAUUUUUAGAUAUGUAAUAUUGGUAAUAUUUUAUUUGUAUCAGAUACCCCACAAUGUAUCUGGAUUGGAUUUAUAUCUGCUAAUAAUAUCUAAGAAAAAUAUCUAAAUCAAUAUUAGAGACUCUUUUGGAUGGUACUAAAGAAAAAUUUGUACCAUUUACAUCCUUGGCUUCACCUACCAUUGCAACUUUGGACACUAUUUUGUAUUAUAUUGCUUUUCUAGCAAAAAUGGCUCUGGGUUUACCAUAAAAAAAUGAACUACCGACUUGCUUGGGACAGAAAUAAUUUGUUGAUUGUUGUUGAAUAUAUUUUAGAGACUCAAAUAUUCAAUUUUAAAAUUUAGGUUUUCGAAUCUUUGAAAGGAGGUCGGUUAUCGAUAGUAUGUGUCAAAGUUGUGGUUUUAGUAAGACCUAUAACUUUAUAGCUGGCAACUUUUAAAUCUGAAUUCAUUGAGAGACUUAAAUAUUGGUUUUAAGUUCUAUAAUCCUGAAAAAAAAAAUUGAAUUUUUCGAAUGAUCUCACGUGUUGGUUUGGUCCACACAAAGUUGUAGCUCUCAAUACGUUAUUCAAUUUUGUAGUUAAUAAUAUCUUUUGUAUCUAGAAUCGUUUAGAGACUCAAAUUUGCUGCGGCGCCAUGUGCCAUCCACAGCCUUUAUCUGAUACUCAAGAGAUAGCCCUAUUGCUAUAUGCUAGUUUUUUCUUGCUCUUCACUGCGAACCUGCGUCACUUUUCUUGACUGAUGAUGACUAAAGCUCAAUCUGAAAUUGUAUUAUUGUUGGAAGGAAUCUCUCUGUAAGACACAAAUGUUUCAGUAACAAAAAAUGAUGGUACGGAAUCAUUCAGUAAACACACACCAACCUAAAAAAAAUAUGGCGCUUCUUCUUCUCAACGAUGAGUCUAACUGACGAGAUAUCUUGUCAAAAAAAAAAAACUGACGAGAGAUAAUAAUAUGUAGUGUAACUGUGUACCUGGACCUGAAGAACUUUACAAACCUCCAUUCUAGUGUAGAAAACGCAUCAAUUGUACAGUAUGUUGGAGAAAAAAAAAGAUUUAUGCACCACUUUUUACUAAAAAAAUAAUCUAUGACCACCAAAUGGUAUAGUUAUCCGCGUAAAGCUUGGGCUGUUUGUUUGCAGCAGACUGAGAAGGGGAAGCAGGAAGGAAGAACGAGGCAGACAGAGGUAGGCGAGGAAGGAUUCAGAGAGUUCAAUUCAGAGUUUUCUUAUUCGAUGCUUACGACUCACGUCUCUUCCCUGUUUAAAAAGUUUAUUUUGCCUUCCUCAACUAUCGUAAAAAUCAGUUUUUUCUUCAUCUCUAAACCAGACAUAGUUCCUCUCUCAUCUCUCAAAACCAGUCACUUUACCUCUAUGACUGUUUCCAUUGGUGGUUUUACUAUUUUAUUUUUAUGUUUAUUUCGGCUCAAUCUUCGAAAAAAAUUAUAAAAUAGAAAAAUUCAAUUGUGUUGGACUCUACAUGAGUAGAUCUACAUAGUGAGCAUAUGAUAUGAUAUGCUUUAGUAUAAACUUUUUUUUUGCUAAGUUACAGUUUAUCUUGUCCAAUUAUAUGAAACUUUUAUGUUGGAUUAAUAAUUUGCGUGCUUGAGACGUACUAAAGAAAAUCACGCCCGUUGGAUCAUAUAUGACUAAGUUAUAGAUUUAUCUUUUAAUUUAUCUAGGUUUAUAUAUAUAAAAAUAUAACUCAGUCAAACAUGAUCCAUUAAGUAUGAAUUUUUUUCUACAUCUCAAUAAUUCAAUGAUGAGCCCACCAUAAACAUUUUGCCAAAAAUCGACCAUAGAAAUUGGAGCUAUGAAUUAAUUACAAAAAAGUAUAGAUCUAAAGUUACAACAAAAACUUUAUACUAAAACAUACUAUAGUGUAUGUCUAUUGUGUAGAUAUUAACAUGUGGAGUCUAAAAAAAUUCAUACCAUUGGAUCAUGUAUGACUGAGCUAAAGAUUUAAUUUAAUUUAAAACUUAUUUAACAAGAUACAUCUAUAACUCAAUCAUGCAUUAUUCAAUGAGCAUGAAACUUUUAUUGUGGCUCAAGAAUGCAAUUAUUAGCCCACCAUAAAAAUUUCACCAUAAUUAGACCACAAAAACAACAGCCAUGAAUUAAUUACAAAAAACAUAAAUAUAAAGUUAAAACAAAAAAAAAUUAUACUAAAGCAUACUCACGUGGAAUCUACUCACGUGUACUAAAGCAUACUCACGUGGAGUACCAUAUCAUAUGUUCAUUGUAUAAAUCUACUCACGUGGAAUGCAACAUAAUUGGACUUUUCGUUUUACAAUUUUUCUGUGAUUUAGUAUGAUUUUUUCAAAGAUUCAGCCGAAAUAAACACAAGAGAAGUGACUAGUUUUGAGAGAUGAAGGAGGAACUAGUCUGGUUUUAGAGUUGAUGAAGAAAAACUGAUUUUUGUAAUAGUUGAGGGGGUUAAAAUGGAGUUUUUCGUUUCCUAUUACAACACUCUGGGCCGGCGUAGCGGGUGUUGAGCCUUAUCUAGCGCUUGGGCCUGGCAGCAGAAGUCAUGCAUGACUCUGCUGUCGGGCCAACAACCCAACAGAAUGGCACUACACUUUCAGCGGAUAUUGGGCCAUCGGAUUAACCGGUCCAAUCUGCUGCCAACAACAACAACAACCACCACGGAAAGUGACCAAGUUCCUGCGGUGUUGGGCCAGCCAAGUCGUCAGUCAGUCCAAUGGUGUGGGCUAGUCCGUCUAAUGGUCAGUCAGUCACAGUUAGACGUGGCUUUGUUCCCUUAUCUUUUAUACCUCACAGUAUUCUUCUUUCACGAUAAAUCAGCGAACGCUCUCUUUUAGCUAUAACUUUUCAGACAAGCUAAUACAUGUCUCCUUGCUACUCCUUCCUACACGCUGGAUUCAUGACGCAACGUACGGGAAAAAGACGCAACUCGCCAGCACGUCGCUCAGGAAUCAGGAGCAGAAAUGUCAACAGGUGUAGUAACAAAUUAAAUUACUGAUGAGAGCGCACUGGUUGUUCGUCGCACUAUGCAGAGCUCCCCGCUUUCAUCUGGUACAGGCGAGUGCAUAAUUUUACAUUAAACAGACAGCCCUGGGAAUGUGGCAUGGGUAGUAGCUAGACUCGUUCCGUCCAACAGCACUGCUGCAUCCCCGUGGUCAUCGUGUACUGCGUAGUGUAGACUAGUGGUAAUUACUAUUCUAAUGGAAUAGUAAUUGAACAUGCGAAUCCAAUUUGUACUCGCCAAUACCAAGUCAUCUGACAUCCCCCAUGCCUGCUUGCGUUGAAACCCGAGAUCGGCUCUCAAGUAGGCGUAGUCCCGACUGAGAGGUAUGGACGGAUCGACUAUGGACAGAGGGAAGAGGGAGGCUUCAUCAAAUUUACGCAGUGUAAAUACUGGUGAAUAAUAACCCACGACACAGCCAUUAUGUGCACACGGUGAAAACGGCGAGUGUGCUCCGCAUUCAUGCCCAGCCUAAAUAAACAGUGAAGUGGUCCUGCUCGUUGUGAUGACGAGGCUUCCUAUAAGUACCAGUACCACCUAGUAGAUGCUUAUCUGACUGGCCGUAUUCGUGGGAGCCAGAUUCAGUAACUUUACAGAGCAAAGUCACGUUGUAACUUUCUUUGAAUCUCCAUCCUCCAGUUAGCAUCGGACGGCUACAAUACUUCUUGAGGCCCAGUUCCGUUCCCGCACGAAAGCGGCCGCGCGCCAGAGUCCGCAGGAGCGCCGUCGCCCGUCGCCAUCGCUAUCACGGACGGCCGCAGCUGCCACCAGAAGCCGCACCCACCGCCAGAGCCUGUAGGAGUGCCAUCGACCAUCACUGUCGUGGGCAGUGCGUGCAGCAUUGUGGAUGCCGCGGCCUCAACCGUGUCGCUGGCUCGCGGAAUGCGCGAUUGGAGCGAGGAUCGACGUGGGUAGGCUGGCGGAUUUCUUGCUCGCCAAUGUGGCCGACGACUCGAAGGCAGCGGUGCCCGGCCGAGUCAUCCGAGCACUCCUACAGGCUGCCAUUUUCUAGUCGCGAGUGCGCGGCGAGCGUCGAGUGAUGCGCCUGGCUGCAGCCCCGGCCAUGGUGCACGCCACGACGGAGCUCGGCCAGUGCUGCUACUGCUGGUGCAAGAGCUCGCCGGCAAGGGGACAACAAAUAACAUGGCCACCAGGUUCGUCGCGUAUGCAAGAGUCGCCAUGCCGAUACAUGCCAUCGACUUGGUUCUUGCCUGUUCCGGCCAGGCGACAUCCUCACCUUCAUGCUCUGUCGUCGCCAGGACGCAUCCACGUGCAUCCAGCAGGCAGCUUCCCAGGUUAAAAUGGCCAAGUUCAGAGAUUGCUUUUGCUUGAGAUCACUAGGUCCAUUAGAUUUUGAAUGGACGCACCAGAUGAACGGAAAGUUACAUCGUGACUUUAUAGAGUAAAGUCACUGAAUCCAGCUCCUCGUAUUCGUGAGCUUCCAGAGAGGUCCAUUAUUUUCAGGAUCACCAGCACCCCCCUCCCGCGUGGCUCCUACAGUAGAAAGCCCGUACACCACGUACGCCGCCGAAUCAUGGCGCGCGUGCUUUGCGUCAAAAGCAAGGGCUCGCUCCGUCCUAUCCUUUUCCUAUCUCGUCAGUCAUCCAUGCCAAUCAGAUCCAUCGCAGCAGCUAGCAUCUCCAUGCAUUUGCAUUUGCAUCCACGAGCGAGAGCGAGACCAUGCAGUGCCGGCCCUGAAUUUUUUGAGGGCCGGGGCGGAAAAAAAAUCUGGGGGCUUUAUACAUUAUUAAGUUCCCAAAAACCAAAAAAAGUUUAAAAUUUUUCGUCACAUCAAAUCUUACGGCACAUGCAUAAAACACUAAAUAUAGUCAAAACCAAAACUAAUUACACAGUUUGCCUGUAAAUCGCAAAAUGAAUCUUUUGAGCCUAGUUAGUCCAUGAUUGGACAAUAAUUGCCAAAUAAAAACGAAAAUGCUUCAGUACCUAAAACAAAAAAAUUUAGGAACUAAACAAGGCUUAAGGAAAUUUUUUUGGUUUUAGCUACUGUAGCACUUUUGUUUAUAUUUGGCAAUUAUUGUCCAAUUAUAGACUAACUAGGCUCAAAAAAUUCGUCUCACCAAUUACAGGUAAACUAUGUAAUUAGUUAUUUCUUUUAUCUUUAUUUAAUGCUCCAUGCAUGCGUCUAAAAAUUCAAUGUGAUGAGAAAUCUUAAAAAAUUUUAGAAACUAACAAGGUUGUAGUUGUUGUUAUUCUAGGCCUGAUUGGUUCCUCUCGCUAAAUUUUAGUCACUUUAAUAGCUAAACUUUCAAACACAUUAACUAAAAAAGAGCUAAAAUAGUUUAGUUACACAAGUCACCCAAGAGUAGCUAAAAUAGUUUUAGCUGGCUAAAAUUUAGCAGGAGAAACCAAAUAGGGCCUAAAUAUUCUACAUCGUAAGCCAAAACUAAGCAGAAAAAAUACAGAAUAGUAUUGAACAACGUUGAAUAUCAUUGUUUAAUAUAAUAGUUCGGAGGUGUAGAAUAGUACUUGUAUAUAUAUACUCAUAAAUACUUAACUCUACAUGCAAAAGCAAUAUUCAUAUGCAACAAUUUAUAUAAAUAUACAAAUACAUUAAAGAUUAUUGUAUGGUUUGCAUAUUUGGGGGUGGGGCCCUGUCUAAUUGGGGGCCAGGGCGGCCGCCCCGCUUGCCUGCCUCCAGGACCGGGCCUGAGACCAUGCUAUAUAUAUAUAUAUAUAUAUAUAUAUAUAUAUAUAUAUAUAUAUAUAUAUAUAUAUAUAUGCAGAUUUGUGUGCCAGCUAAGCCGGCAGGUGGCCUGGCCCGAUACGGAACAUCUGCGAGCCCUGUAGAUAUCCCGGCUGACAGGUGGAGUCGAGUCCAAUCUCCGGAGAUUAGCGGGAGAUGGAUGGAUAACCUCGUGGGAUCAGCGGCGGAGCCAGGAUUUAAAUCUUGGGUAUUCCUAGUGUCUGGUGGGCCACCACUCAGUUGUUGCCUCUAACCUCAUGACCGACGUAUGUCUUCACCGGUCGCCAUGUAGACAUAGCAUAGAGACAGAGGCCGCGUCCGUGCUACACGCUUCUAGGAUGAGAGUAACUACACGCGCGUGUAAAAGAAACGCGUCCUAUAUAUAUAUAUAUAUAUAUAUAUAUAUAUAUAUAUAUAUAUAUAUAUAUAUAUAUAUAUAUAUAUAUAUAAAAUAGGGUGAGUUUUCUAUACUCCUAGGAGGAGUAGUUACUCCCACUAUAUUUAUUGGGUAUAUGUCCAUUAUCAAAACCCGUUAAAUACUCCUGCACUUUUGUGUAGUUGUUGUGCCCGCUUGCAUGCGGACGAAGAGCCACAAGACGUUACAUGUCCAUAUUUUGUGGCGUAUGUUUGUUGCUUCUUUCAAAUAAAAUAAAAUGGAUACUAAAUUCUUUAUUGACGUAUAUAUUUUUGUGUAAAUAAAAUAUGGACACUAAGAAAAUUUGUAUACUUAUACUUGGGAGUAUAUCCAUAUACUUCGGAAAUUAUUUUAGUAUAUCCAUAUACUCAUGGAAUUUUAGUAUAUCCAUAUACUUGAGCGUAUAUUUGGGAGUAUGUCCAUAUACUAAUGAGAUUUUAUUAUAGAGUAUAUGAACUAUUUAUAGGAGAAAAAAAUAGUAUGCUAAAUGUGCACAUAUUUUUUUUACACGAGUAGUUCGCAAAUAUUGAUAUGAGUAUACUAGUAUGCGUACAGACUUUUGACAGGAGCUGGCCGUGAGUUUCCGUCCCGAUCGGAAGUGACGGAUGGGGUGAAGCAGAUCUGAGAUCUGCUAGCUAUAUAUGUACGUAUUUAUAUUCAAUAUUCAAAAUACGAACGGGUCCGUUUUUUUUCUUUAACCCGCUAACGAGAACCCAGCGCCACGUUAGAGCAACUCCAACCAUUAUGCAAAUGGAAUUGACAUUUACCAAAAUACAUAAAACUCCAAAAAAAACCCCUCCAAUCGUUAUGCAUUUGGACUUUGCAUUUUACAUAGCUAUGCAUUUGGAGGGGGAAACUUGGCAUAUAUGCCAAAGAAGUCCGGCUAUGUAAAUAGAGAUCACGGGAUUCUCGGUUCCACCUCGCAGGCUUUUUUCUUCCCUUCGCGCGGUUUCCCUUCGCGCCGCCACCACUUCGCGCGAUUGGAGAAGCAUCGCGCGUCCUCCUUCGCCAGCUUGACUGAUGGCGGCGACCUGAUGGAGAUCGAUACUGGAGCCAAGGGGCGAACCUAUACGACGACAAACUGAUGGCCAACAGACGACGAACUGGUACGGUGAACGAGAACUAACGGAACGGGAGAUCGGUACUGCGAUCGGUACUGCGAACGGGAACGACGAACUGCGCAGCUCACAAUCGGUACUGCGCGGCUGUUUGGCGCGGGAAUUGGUGAACGGGAGACGACGGCGGGCUGUUUGGCGCGGGAUCGAUUGACCGCGCGGGAAGGAGUGCCGCGAAACAAAAUUUUCGGAAAAAAAAAGAAGAUGGACUCGGCAUUUUGCAUAACGGUUAGAGAUCACCCGAUUUUAGCCUUGUUAUUUUUAUUUGGGGGUUUGCAAUUUACCUAAAAUGCAUAACUUCAAAUGCAUAAUGGUUGGAGAUGCUGGCUCAGUCGUAUAAAUCUAGGUGGGAGUAGCUACUACCAGGGAGUAGGAAAAAUUUACCAUAUAUAUAUAUAUAUAUAACCUAUUCUACACCCUAGGUGUAGAAUAUUAUUUUACACCGCAAAUCAAAACUGAGUAGAAAAAAAUACUGAGCAACACUGAAACGCGUUCAGUAUCAUCUAAUACUACACUCAGGACCACGAAAUACUGAACAAUACUGAAACGCGGAUACUGAACAAUACUGAAUUCUGCUCAGUAUAACAGUUUGGUGUGACGGAGAAUUUUGAAAAUUUUUACGAACUAAACAAAGCCUAACUUUGCUCGAAAUGACCAUACACUUCGUAUAAAAUACGUCAUGCUUUGCGCUUACCAAAGUUUCCCUUUUUUUCACUGGGGUUAGGCCUUGUUUAGUUUACUCUGAAAACCAAAAAUUUUUCAAGAUUCUCCGUCACAUCGAAUCUUAUGUCACAUGCAUAAAACAUUAAAUAUAGACAAAAACAAAAACUAACUAUACAGUUUAGCUGUAAAUCACGAGACGAAUCUUUUGAUCCUAGUUAGUCUAUGAUUGGAUAAUAUUUGUUACAAACAAAUGAAAUGCUACAGUACCGAAAACUUUUCACUUUUCGGACUAAACAAGGCCUUAGUAGAGAAAAGGCCUCUCAUUCGAUGAGGAACUUUCUAGAAGUACGCGAGAAUCUCAUCUGCUCGAACGAAAGAAUUACAUACACCAAGUGCCAAGGACAGACAUAUACAUACUAUAAUAUGGAUUGUCAUGUAUGCCCAUGCCAGGAGGUGGGUUGAAAAAUUUCACAGUACAAUCAUGCAUACACUUAAUAAUGGUAUACAAAGCAGUACAUAUUUGAUAUUUUGCAGUACAGAUCCAGAACCAUAGCACCGUAGCACGUGCCCUCGGCCUAAUGUUCCCUUAAAGGAACUAAAGAAAAGCUCUGUUAAUUGCAGUCAUCACACAUUCUCACUGCAAUGCAAGAUACUGUGUCACAGUCAACCUUUUUCUUGUGUGCAGGCAAUGCACGGACCCACACACUGCACUCGUAAUUUAUGUAACACUCUCGUGAUGGUCAUGCAUGUUACUAGCAACUUAUGUGAGACUGCAAAUCUCUGCAACACUGCUGCAAAAGGGUUGAAAAAUGAAAAGCAGACCUAUGGGAAUGUGCUUUCAUUUUCAUAUUCAUGAUAUACUGGCAAAGCGAUGCUAUUUUCAUUGUGGCCUUGCAUGUGCAGCGAGGGAGCACCUUUCAAUCGCAGUGGCACCCAACCAACCAAGCCUUGCCAUUUGCCAAACCAUAUACCUUGCGGUAACAUUGCUAUGAUACUAGCUAGCUAGCUGGCGCGCGAGAUCGAUCUUUUUCUUGCCAUUUCAGGGCACCGAGACGUGCAUGCCAAACCUAGCUGAGCAACAGCAACAGCUUUGGAGGUAUAUAUAUGUAGUGAACCAUGCAUGAUACCAAAGAGCUGGCUAUAGCUAUUCAGGCCUUGUUUACUUCAACUGAAAAACUAAAAAGUUUUUCAAGAUUCUCCGUCACAUCGAAUCUUGUGGCAUAUGUAUGAAGCAUUAAAUAUAGACGAAAACAAAAACUAAUUACACAGUUUGUCUGUAAAUCACGAGACGAAUGUUUUGACCCUAGUUAAUCUAUGAUUGGAUAAUAUUUACCACAAACAAACGAAAGUACUACAAUAGUAAAAUUUAAAAAGUUUUCACAUCUAAACAAGGCCUCAGUCGUCUCCUUGGUGUGAAAUGGAUGAAACUGUAGGUGUUCUGUAUGCAUGCAUCAUAGCAAGAUAUGUACUAGUUCCUAUUGCUGAUGAGCUCACUCGAGCAGUCGAGCUGCAUUGCUGCAUGUUACAAAAAAGAAAAAAAUCUUCAGUCGGUUCAUCAGUCCCGUCUCACCUUGCUAAGGCCACAUUUGGAACACAGAAAUCUCACAAAACAGCAGAAAAGGAAAACUAUAGCUAAUACGACGAAACAUUUGGAACACAGAAAAUCUCAAAAUACUUUAUUGUACAUGAAACAGGUUACGCAAAAAAAAAAAAACUAUAGCUAAUACGACGAUUCCCACCGACAGGAUGCAGGUUACCGAGACACAGUCUUAUGUAACCCUCGGAUAUUUUGGUUCUGGAAGUACUGAUGGUGUCCGCCAAAACAAACACUCUAGUGCGUGCCGCUGGGCGAUUUUCAGGGCGGUGUUUGUGCCUGUGCGUGGCCACACCAAUAAAGACGAGCUGAACAUGAGGAGGACGAGAGCAUCUCGAUCUCGAUUUCCGGGGAAAUGAUCGAUUUCGCCUGUUUUCCUGUGGUUUUUGUUCGGCGGACGGACGGGGAGGAGGGGGAAGAAGACAACCGGCUCAGCUUUUUCAGCGACGAUCAAAAAUGCCUUUGCUCUUUUGUCAAAAAAAAAAAAAAGCCUUUGCUCAGAUGAAUGCACAUGCAGAGCUUCUCGUCGUCGUCAGCGAUUUGUGGGUGGGCAAGCAACAUCCUCUCCCUUUCCUCCUGCAGAACCGCGUAACAUUUUCACACUACACGAGCUCCUUGCACUUGCAGAAUGAGGGGUGUGUGUGUGUCUACUCAAAAUUUCUGCAACUUUCCCUAGGGCAGAACGAGAGAACAUGCUGAAAUGCUCUGGGUAAGGUAAAACAAGAGCCAAAAUGCACAAAAGCAUACUUAGACCUUGUUUAGUUUUACAAAUUUUCUUUUUGUCCCAUCAUAUUGAAUCUCUAGACACUUGUACAUAAAAAAUUACACAAUUUACAUGUGAUUUAUGAGACGAUUUUUUAAGUUUAAUUAAUCUAUGAUUAGAUAUUAAUUGUCAAAUAAAACAAAAAUAUUAUGGUAGUUAAAUCCAAAAAAGUUAACGAACUAAACAAAGACUUAAUAACGAAGCCAUAUUCCUAAAAGGUGGCAGAUGUGGAUCCAUUAUUUCACUGCUUAUCUUCGGUUGAACACAUUAGUUAUAUGUAGGGAUGAAAACGGAUCGGAUACGAACGGAUAUCACUGAUAUCAUAUUUGUUUUUAUAUUUUUGGUCGGAUUCUGUCACACCCGAUUUUAAAGAACAAAACCAGGCUAGCCAUAUGUGUGCCCAGGAAGUCCACACAUACAACAACAGAAGCAAUAAUAUCAAAAACAAUGUUAUAUAGCGGAAACAUACUUAUAAUUAACACUUACAUCAGAGAAUCGUAACACAAUAACUAAUCUUCAGGCUCAAUCUUCACAGGGACGACUGACUGGGGGUAACAUAUGCCUAGCACUUCUUGUAUCCUGAUAACGUCCUUCGUAACUCCUUCGCUCCUCUGAUAACUCUUAGUAGUAUACUGGAGUGGUGGGAAAUAGCAAGAGUGAGCACAUAUCGUACUCAACAAGUAUAACCAAGGGUUCAUGAGGCUCAAAUGGCUGACACUGGUUUAACUGCAUUUAGCUUUUAAUAGUGGAGAGCAUGUUCAUAAUUUAAUAGCAAUUGUCAAGGUAGCAGUAAUAAUCCAUUAAUCACAUGAUCAAGUGUAAGCAUAAUUAAUUAUUAGCAUAAACGAUAAUCAAAUGAACAUAACAACUUAACAAGCUCAUCGUCGUCGCAGCAAGAACCCCCAAGGCCGCUCUUAACCGUGAGCACGGCUAGUAUACUAGUUUUAACACUCUGCAGAGGUUGUACAUCUUUACCCAUGAGUCAUGAUUUACCCUUUCGCCCGAGGUGAUCAGCCUCUUAACCCACUCCCAAGGAAGGUCGGCAGGGAUCACUAUGAAGCCUUUCAAAAGUUCGUCUAACAUGUUAGGGCCGCAAGGUUUCCUUUGCGAGCAGAUAUAGAUACCCCCCUUCCGAAUGGCACAAUGACGCGCAGCCUAUACACAUAGGGACAGGGGCUCGCACUAUACCCGUGUCGGUUCAGCCCCUCCGCCCUUUCGGGUAACCUCUAACAAGCUAGAAAAGGUCUUCAUACUGAGCUAAAGCCAGAGCCAUUAUAGCCCUCAUGGUUGCACUGUUGUCCCGGUGAUCACUUACAGACAAGAUCUCAUAUAGUUAUUUGUCAUCUUUUAACGUUCAUUGCAUAGCUAUUAAUCAUCUUACAAGAUCAUGGAUUAUAUCAAGCACUAGCACAUCUACACCAAAUGCAUAUCAAGUAGGUAACAAGGAAUCCAGGUAACAAUCAUCUAUGAUUUUGCUAAGGUCGACAAGGUGAUAGCAUGCAUAUGACAUAUAUGUGUAGUUAUAAGUGAAUAGGUAACAAGGAUGAUCCCAAGUUAUACUUGCCUUAAACACUUGCUUAAUCCUCACAUCAUCAGCUUUCUGUCAUCAUCUUCUGAUCUUCAAUGCCCACAAACAGUUCUCGUCUACUCGCAUGAAGCACCACGCAUAGGCAAACAUACAAAGCAACAAAUAAAAGAAACUAAGAACAACACACCAAUCAAAAAAAGAAAGCCUUAAAAGAGAGCGCACUAAACGUUACGGGUCGAUGCUAAGGUUAUGAGAAACGCCGAAAGCAAAACUAUCGUAAUAAAGAAAUGACUACCUGUAGUUUUGGAUAAUUUAAAAGAGACAACAAUGAUCUUAAUAUGUUUUAUUUAAGAACAAUCAUGCGUAACCUACUAAUUCAAAUUAGUCAAAUUAUAUUUUAAUUUUAAAAACAAAGUAGAACUUAUUAUAUUUUAUUUAUGAAUAUAUCUAUUAUAUAAUCGAUAAUCAUAUUUUAAAUAUAGGCAUGCAAGCAUCAUUUUAAUCAAAGUAAACUUUAACUUUUUAAAGAAUAUGUGAGAACAUCUAUUCAAAUUAUACAUGAUACGUGUUGGAGAUGAUCAUAUGUUAUUCAUACAUAAUUUUAUAUCGUUUAUGCCAGUUAAACUUUAACUUAUAAAAUUACGUAACAUGUGAGCACUAAAAUAAGUUUAUGGUAUAUAUCGUGAUUGUCUAAGCAAAAUAUAAUUAAAACAUAUUCAAGUUGCUAUUAAUUAAAUUCAUGCUCACAUAAUUACAAAGGAUAGACAAACCCAUAUUAUUUUAAUUAUAAAACUAACUAUAAGGAUAUUGAGCAAUUAAAUAUUUAGAAAUAUAUAGAAAACAUGUGACAUGAAAAACACUAGCACUAACGCGUAGAUUACAUUGAUAUGAGUCUAAUGCAACUUGAACAAACAAACUCAGAGUUAAAAUGAGUAUUUUAUAGCUAAAACAAGCUAAUGUAUUUUCUCUAUAUUUCUAGAUUUGUUUUUCUAAAGGAAAACGGUGACAAAACUUAUCCACGACAUCACGUAUUCAUGGAGCAAAAAGAAAUUCUAAAUCUGAUUUCUUUUACCACCGAUUAACAAAAGUAAUACAUAAAUGUUGAUUUCUCGCUCGAUCCGCGUGCACUGAAAAUUCUGAAAUUCACCCACAAACCACAGUCCUAAUUACCUUGAUCCAUGUGUGUCGGUGAGAGUGAAAGCCAGAGAACGCAGCGCCGGGCAGCGGUAAUCGGUAACAGCAGCAUGGACUUCCACCUCUGCACAGUACCACCGAUCAACACAGAGGACAACAGUUUCUGCAGUGCGCCGAUUGAUGAAACGGAGGAAAUCGACGAGCAGAUGAAUUCGUCCAACAGCCGAAAAAUACUGUACCCGAUGACGACUGCGGUGGCCAGGAUGGAGUAGGACGGCAUGGCUCUAGGGGAGAUUAGUCGGCACCGGCGGCGGCAGAUACGAUCUAGGGCAAAAGCAAGAGCCUGUUCUGUUGCAAGAUAUAUAUAUAUAUAUAUAUAUAUAUAUAUAUAUAUAUAUAUAUAUGCUAGAAGAUAUGGGCCAUUUUAAGAUCAAAAAGGAGUUGGCUUCCUGGUCUCCCUACGAUAAGACGUCGGACAAAUUGAGCUGCGGUCGGAUGGUGGGUUUGAGCCCAAAUUAGCAAGAAUUUUACACAAAGUAAAAGGGAGCUUUAACAAAAGCAUGACAAACUCAUGGGUGAAUUGGAAGAUGAAUCCAAAUAAAGUAUUUAGAGCUCAUGAAAAGAUAUCUAGGAGCAUCUAGAAAUUAGAUUAUGCUCAGAGUCAAGUGGAAAUAAAUUCCAGGAAAAAUGCUGAAAAUAAUUCUUCAUACGUUUUAAUAGGUCGGUUCAUGGAAGGUGUACCCAAAGGAAUAAUUUAAAAUAGAAUAAAGGGAUAUGGAAACUCUAAAUAAAAAGAUUAAUGAUCAAGAAAGAGAAGACUUGAUUAUAUAGAAAAAAAACUGGAGACACGCCGGAUAGAGAUCAACGACUUACUAAACGCGCUUAUUAAAACUGCACCCGCUCACAACACAAAGUCAAGCGACAAGCAAGCAUCACCUCACAUCAACAAAAGCUCAUCAAGUUAAUUCAAAACAAAUUUGAAAAUUAACAUUCUCCUAUAACUAAAUUUGCAGUGACUCCAAACUAAACUUGGUAAAUUUUAUCCAAAUAUCAAAAUAUAUAUUUUUGUUAAUGUUUUCUACGCACAGCCCAAAAUCAAAAAUUUUGGGGUGUGACAGAUUCGGAUUCGAAUACGGAUAAUAUCAACAAUGUCGGAUAAGAUACGAUUGGAUGUUGACAUCAUAAAUAUACGAUUUAAGUAUUCGGAUACGGAUACGGUAUCGGAUAUUAAACAUUCAGACUCGAAUACGGACAGAUCUCAACCCCUCUAAACGAAUUCGGUCUCGAAUACGGUCGGAAAAUAUCCGUACCAUUUUUAUCCCUAGUUAUAUGACUUUAAUUUUACCGUCGAUGAGAGGGUAAGUGGGCAACACGGUAUAUAUAUAGUAGUAGUGUGUCAGUGUAAGAUUAGACCUUGUUUAGUUUCAAAAAAUUUUCAAAAUUCCUCGUCACAUCAAAUCUUACGGGAUAUGCAUGAAGCAUUAAAUAUAAAUAAAAAAAAGAUAACUAAUUACACAGUUUAUCUAUAAUUUGCAAGACGAAUCUUUUGAUCCUAAUUAGUCUAUAUUUAAAUAAUACUUAUCAAAUAAAGCCGAAACUGCUACAGUAGCGAAACCCAAAUUUUUUCGCGGAUUAAAUAUGUAUAGUAAAAGAAUUGUUACAAUACCUCUCAAAAUCUUUAAAAACACUCAUAGUUGGUAUCACGAACAAAUAUUUUCUGAUUCCUAUGAUUUUCAAUUCAUCGAUUUUUUAUCUUAUUUAUCGCUAAGUAGGUGUGUAGUUUAUUGCAGUUUACUUUAGAGGUGUCCUGUCUAAUUUCUGAUUCAUGUAUUUCUUACGUUUGUCAGUUUACAUACCUAACCCAAGGUUGUUGAUGUCUAUUCACGUACGUGGUAACUUAGGAUGUGUUAGCUAGCUAAUUUCUUAUUCAUGAGCUAAUUGUUAGCGAGCUAAUUGUAGCUAGCUUAAAAUUAGUUCUAGUGUAUCCAAACAUGAGUGCUAAUAGGACUAAUUUUUUAAGCUAAGUUUUCAACUAGUUAGUCAGCUAGCUAGCCAACCAUAGAUAUUUCGAACCAAAUUUUAGCUUAAGUACCAAUAACUAGCCAUGUAUCAAACAAUCCCUAAGUAGUCCAUUCCCCACAGUUGACGUCUUGGCGCCACAUACUUUCUUGGAGGCGUUGUUCUUCGAGCCCCAUGCUCGUAUGCCAUCAUGGCCAGAUUCAAGGGCGAAAGUCCCGUCUUGGGUGUCUCUAAGGCCAAUGCGACGCGUCCAUAGUUUCUAUGAGCGUCCUCCCCUUGCUGAAGUGGCCUUUCUACCGUCGGCUUCUCAGGAGUCCCUGACUAUACCUGUUGUGUUUCAUUUCCACUUGCUUUGGUCUAUUCUGCAGUUGUUGAUAGAGCGAAUCUAGGAUAUUAUGUCACUGGGGUCAAGGACUAAACAACGGGGUCAACACACAUGUUAAUUCUCUAUUUAAAAGAAUAAUUUGCAGGUCGAUUAAAGAGCUUUAAGUGAAUUUUUGGCAAGUUAUCGGGGUCAGCUGACCCCAAUGAAUACACAUAGAUUCGCCUCUGGAUUGUUGACCUUGUCCGCUUGGUCAUCGUUGGUUAUCAUAGUGGUUGCUUAGCUACUAUUGCUGCUCUCUUGGCAGAUGCUUUGCCGCCGUUUAGUUCGUUGGCAGAUGCUCUAAUUUGCUGCUGAUUGGUUUGUUGAUGGAUGCUUUGCCACCCUGUCGUCGACCUCCUUUCUACUAGUUCAUUUGCUACCGAGACUGAUCUGGUUCGUUGGCGGAUGCUUUGCCGCUGUUUUGUUCGUUGACGAAUGCUUUACCGUCGUUGUUGUUGGACGGUCCUCUGUAUUGACGACCACUACAUUGUUGCAUUGCAGGCACAGUUUUAGGUUUUGGGUCUUGAGGAUAGUCGCUCUCCUCUUUGUAUCUUUGUUGUUCCUAUAUUUAUUCUAGAUUACUCAAUAUUAUCUUAGUGGUUUGUAAUCUAUGAGGGUUUUCUUAUAGCUGACUUAUAAUUCACUCCUUUUAAUAAAAAAGUGGGCUAUAUCCCCAAAUCGUGAAAAAAAUAGUUAAAGGGGUGAAGUAGAUUUUUUUUCUCAAAAGAAUAUUGUUGAAUGAAUGACAGGACUUUGAUGAUAUCAAGUUAUCUGCUCCUGAAAACAACUGCUCAAAGGACUAUGGCCUUGUUUAUAUCAAAAAAAAAUUUAGAUACCGUAGCAUUUUUGUUUUUAUUUGACAAAUAUUUUUCAAUCAUGGAGUAGCUAGGUUUAAAAGAUUCGUCUCGCGAUUUACAGGCAAACUAUGCAAUUAGUUUUUAUUUUUAUCUAUAUUUAAUGGUCCAUGCAUGUGCCGCAAAAUUUGAUGUGCAGAAAAUCUUAAAAAGUUUUUGAUUUUUAGGGUGAACUAAGGCCUGGUUUAGUUGGCAAAAAAUUUAGAUUUCGAGUACUGUAACACUUUCGUUUUUAUUUGACAAACAUUGUCCAAUCAUGGAGUAAUAACUAUACUUAAAAGAUUCAUCUCGCGAUUUACAGAUAAAUUGUGUAAUUAAUUUUUAUUUUCAUAUAUAUAUUUAGUGCUCCAUGCAUGUGCCGCAAGAUUCGAUGUGACGGAGAAUCUUAAAAAAAAUUUGGUUUUUGCGGUGAACUAAACAAGGCCAUAUAUUAGUGUGCUGUGUUUCCCCCUACGAAGCAUUGUGGAGUCGUGCUUGAUCCACGUCGUUUGAUCUGGGCGAGGUGCACAAACGUCACAUGGCUCUUCUUGCUACUUCAGUGCAAAGGGAGUGUAUGCAUGCACACAAUAAUGCGGCCUGCGUCUGUGUACGGUAGAAAAAUACUUUAUACAGGAUAUGCAACGACGUGAAUGCUGCACCUGCCCCCUGCCCCUGCCCCUGCCCGCCCUAGUAGCUAUUCACGGCUCUAUCCAUUCCAUUGCCGUGCGUCAACAGGUCCAGACUGGCCCGGGUCCAAGCGAGUGACCAACGCGGGAAGCCUCCCGUCCCUCCCUCCCCCACAUGGGACAUGGCUGCCUGAUGAAUGCCUCUCGCCGCACUGCCCCUGCCCCUGCCCCUGCCCCUGCCCUCACUCCAUCGGAGGGCGGCGGCUUCACGAGAGCCGAGCAGGACCCAGACCCAGCGGGCAUCCGAGGCCCCCACCCCCACCCCCACCCCUUCCUCCGUGUAUAAAAGCGGUGCCAGGGUGAGCGUCUCUCCUCACACUGACUGCACCAGAACAAGAGCUUGAGAGUGAGAGUGAGGAUGAUGGGUGGCAAGGCCGCUCUGCUGCUGGCCCUGGUGGCCGUGACCCUGGCCGUCGUGGAGAUCCAGGCCGACGCCGGCUACGGCUACGGCGGCGGCUACCCGACGCCGACGCCGAAGCCGCCGGCCAAGGGGCCCAAGCCGGAGAAGCCCCCGACCAAGGGCCACGGCCACAAGCCGGAGAAGCCGCCCAAGGAGCACAAGCCGACUCCGCCCACCUACACCCCGAGCCCCAAGCCCACGCCGCCGCCGGCUACUCCCAAGCCGACGCCGCCCACCUACACGCCGAGCCCUAAGCCCAAGUCGCCGGUCUACCCUCCCCCGCCGAAAGCCAGUACUCCUCCGACCUACACCCCGAGCCCCAAGCCUCCGGCGACCAAGCCGCCUACCUACCCGACCCCCAAGCCACCAGCUACCAAGCCUCCGACACCUCCUGUGUACACUCCGAGCCCCAAACCACCGGUUACAAAGCCUCCUACACCCAAGCCGACCCCGCCGGUGUACACGCCGAACCCCAAGCCACCGGUUACCAAGCCUCCGACACACACGCCGAGCCCCAAGCCUCCGACAUCCAAGCCGACUCCGCCGGUGUACACACCGAGCCCCAAGCCACCGAAGCCGUCCCCGCCGACGUACACGCCGACCCCGAAGCCACCGGCUACCAAGCCGCCCACCUCAACUCCGACGCACCCUAAGCCGACGCCGCACACGCCUAUCCCCAAGCCCACGCCGCCAACCUACAAGCCGGCACCGAAGCCGACGCCGCCGGCGCCCACCCCGCCGACAUACACGCCGCCGGUGUCGCACACCCCCAGCUCGCCGCCGCCGCCGCCGCCGCCGC